rnacentral:lncRNA from 1 species
AAAUAUUUCCAUUAAUAAUAAAAUCUUCACAAGAAUUUCAAACCGAUCCUCAAACCGGCGAAAAAAAAUCAGAAAAAAUCUGCAACAACAAAUUGUUUUAAAAAAGAAAAACUCUAAACUUGUUUCCUUCUUCUUCAAUUUUUUUCAACAUCAUCAAACGAAUCUAGAAAAAAAGAAAAAUUAUAUACCUAUUUACAUCCAAAACGACGAAGUAUUACUCAGUAUCUGAACAAAAACCACCAGAUCUAGAAAAAAAAAAACUUUGUCUAACUACCAAGAUUUCUUCUAAGAAAAAAAAAAGCUUCUUCUUCUUCUUAUUCUUCAAAUCGUCUCGUCUCCGAUUAGAUCAAUCGACACAGGAAGUCCAAGACGAAGCGACUCCAUGAUCCUUUCGAAGACAAGGACAUGGCAUGNNNNNNNNNNNNNNNNNNNNNNNNNNNNNNNNNNNNNNNNNNNNNNNNNNNNNNNNNNNNNNNNNNNNNNNNNNNNNNNNNNNNNNNNNNNNNNNNNNNNNNNNNNNNNNNNNNNNNNNNNNNNNNNNUGUCCUUCGGGUACGGAAGAGCUCUGCUUCUUCGACCGACGAGCCACCGAUGAACGGAGGAAUGAUUCUGUACGGCGCCGGUUACUAGGUCGCUGCGAAUCUGAACGGAGGAGACUGUAUUGAGCCGAAUCAGCCACGCGUGAGAGACGGCGGAUCAAUUGCUUCAUCGUCUUCUUUGCUUGAGAUUGAAUACUUUUGCUCAAAGAGUGGUUGAUAACGAGAAUUGUGAGAUUUUUUUUUUGCUUGUGAAGGACAAGUGAAGGGGGAGAUUCUUAUUAUAUAUCGAAGUCGAGGGUACUUUGGGGAUUUCUUAUCUUUUUUAUAUAUAAAUAAAGUUGGUACAAGGAAGGAGUACUUGCCAGGUACACACACUUACUUCGUAAUUUUCCACUGACUUUCAAAUCACUAUUUUUCAAAUAAGAAAAAGAAAAUUAAAACGAAUAAAUAUCUUUGAUUUUUCUUUUUGAAAAAGGAAAUAAUAUUAUAUAUAUUUAACUUAGGAUUGAUUUUACCAAUUAUAUCAUUGGUGUGAUUCUUUUAAAACUAUAUUCUUAUUGGAUGAUUUUUUUUUUAUUCUUUUAGAUAACUGUUUGGAUUUCCAUUAACUAUAUCCUGCAUUAUCUUAAACAUAAUGCACAAUUAAAUGAUUGUGAUAAUAUUAUAUCCUCCAAUUAAUGAUAGGAUUUAGAUACCAAUUUUUAAUUUCACUUGGUUAUUCCUAUUCUAUCAAUUAUUAUAAUUAUCAGAUAUACUCUUUUCCUUAUUUAUUACACGCAAGGUUCAUGAAGCAACUCAAAAUAUAUAUUUUUUAUUCCCCAUGCUGUAACAUUAUUAGUUUAUCAGAAGAAGAAGGAAAAAUUAUAAUUCUUCAUUCUAAGCAAAAAGAAAACAAUUUUUUUUUUAACUAACUAAAUAAGUCUACAUAUAUUUGUUUACAUGCUUCCAUAUAGUUCCAUGCAGGCGUUGUAAUCAUAUACAUUAUGUAGUUAAUAACUUAAGAUCGGAUAAUCCAAUUUUACUUUGGAAACUUUUGAGAUAUUAAUCUGGCAUUCUUUCUCUAAUCCUAUUCGAAAUAUAAAAAGGGGUAGAAUAAAGACCGCCUCGUUAAUGUUUAAUAUUUUCAAUUUAUUAAAUUGUAAUCUAGAAAAUAUCAAUGAAGUGUGGUAACAAUAGUUAUUUUUGUGGAAGUUGUUAAUUACAUACAACUUUAUCCUGUAACUUUGUAAGCUAUCAUAUGUAAUUUCGCUAAUGAUUUUCAUCGACCUAAUAUGAUAACUUUCUAAGCUAUCAUAUUGAUGCAAUUUCUACUUCUCUAAUUUUAUUGUUAAUGACGCAUCAAAGACACUUAUAUGUUGCCAUAAUCACAUCAAUAUAUAUACUGACAAUGAUUAAUAAUCUCUCUAACUAAUUAAUAUGAUUUCAUAAUCAUAACAAUACUAAUGCUUUUUAUUAGAUAUACAUGUGAGAUCUAUUAUAAUUUCGCUAAUGAUUUAUCAUUGACCUAAUACGUCUUAUAUCCACAUUUGUUAGGAAUAAUGAAGCCUUCAGAAUCUGGAAACAAAGUCUAAUAUAGAGGCUGGAUUUCAAAUAAAUGACAUACAAAUUAUUUCUGGAUGGAAAAUUUACGAAACAAAAUGUGGAGCUUCAACGUCUGUUGACCCCAUAAGAUGACAUUAAGGUUUCUAGAACUUGGACCAAAGUAAUUUAAUAUGAGCCAUUAAUUUCUGUAAUGUUACGAUUUUUCUUUUUUUUCUUCUUUUGAACAAGUAUAUAUAAGAUUAUACAAAUAAGUCCAUACUCACCCCGACGACUUCAAAGACUUCAAUAUUCAUAUUGUUUAUUCUGGUCAUUCAUUCCCUCACGUAAACAUCAUUGAAAAAACUAUAACCAUUUUUAAGUUACUUGUAAGUUUCCAUUAUGUAAUGUACUUUUCUCAAGCCUAAUCAGUGUAGUUCAAUUAGUUUCAGAUUAUAAUCAAUUAAAUGAUAAGCUUGCAUGUUAUCGUUUUCAUUGUGUAAACAUAAAAAAAGAUCUAUCACUUUCAUAAUAUAAACACAACUACACAAGCCAUUCAUAUAGAUUAACGUGAUCAUAUAACUAAUGCAGAGACUACAUAUAUAAAUAUAUAUAGUUUGUAUUGUAACCAAACUUCAUGCAUAGAAAAUAAUGUCGUGCGUGGAUAUCAUGAAGGACCAUCACCAUGUGUGUGUGAGUUAGACUAGAUAGAGAAUAAAAGUAAAGCAGAAUUGUUGAAAGGAUCAGUCUCCGUUCUGUAAAGGUUAAAACUUUAAAAGACAAAGAUACGAUGUGACCUCAUUUUCUCUGGUUAUCAAAAAAGUUGUCUGACCCCUAACUUAUCUUAGGGGGGUUGCAACUUUAGACCACUUUAGGCUCUUCAUUAACUUUUUUAUUUUGAUUUUUAUACAUAAUAAUAAUAUGACUAUUCCACUGUGGAAUUUCCACAUAUAGAUUAAUCAAACUAAAAUAGUCUCGUACUACUGCCAUGCAUCUUUGGUAUGUUUCGUCCGAUGCAGAAAUGUCGAACCCCAACUUAGGUACGUCCCAAGUUUUACGUCACAACUAGAUAAAUGUCAACGCGAAGAUAUGUCUGUGUAUAUAAGUAUAAGAUGUAAUGGUAAACUAGUUUGAUUUGUUAGAUCUAAAAGGAAACAAUAUAAAAGCAAAAGAAGCAAACUUUUGAGUUUUGAUGGAGUGUUAAGAAAAACUAAAACAAAGUCUCAAGUGGUUAAGUCCCUUACGACUCCUUGUCGUCAAGUUUCCGUGGAAGUCCCUGAUCUCUUAUACAUGUUUCGUAAUACAGUUUAGAUGGUUUUGUUAGUUUCUUGUGGGAUUGGAAGUGUUCAAGUGCCGUCACGUAGUUGCCCAUUCUCUCUCAUUAAUAUCUAUCACUAAUAAAAGUUUGGAUAAAAUCAUCAUAAACUGAUCGACUUAGUAACUAUAUAUGUUUAUAUAUCUGAAUCCAAUACAGGAAAAUCCACACCUAGGCGGCAUUAAACACAAUAAUUUAUAACUAAAGAAGGCUAGAAUCAAUAUCUAAUUUCUGCGUUGUUAGUUAUAUAUGUAAAUAAAAAUCAUGCAUGUAAAGAAUCGGUUACAUUACUAAUGAUAGCUAAUAUUUAGUCAUUGAUAUUUUGAUUAAUAGCUAAAUAAUUAAGUUGUACUAGCCUACAUUUCAAAGAAUCGAAAUAUAAACAUAUAUAAACAAAUGCAUAUAGAAAGAAGCAUAUGAUGCUCAAAAUACAUGUUAUAAAAUGAUAAAAUAAUAAGAGAAAAAGGAAAGGAUGAUCAAUGAUAUAUGUGAUUAAGAAAUAGUAAAAGACAGCUGAUCAUCAUCAUAUAAUAAUACUAAAUAUUUAUGAAAAAGAAUAAAAAAAAAACAGAGAUAGAAGAGCAAAGAGAGAAUAUUCCUGCAACGGCAAAGGUUACAACACAUAAGAGAGGCCAUGACCUCAAAAAUAUCCAAUGAUUGAGAGAAACACGUCAAAAAAAAGAUUGAAACACUCUGAUUUGAUUAUUACAUAGCUGUAACGCGUUACGCGCUAUUGCAUCCUUCCAUCAUUAAACUAUAUGGAAUUAUAUAUGUCGUCACCGCUUCCAUAUAGUAUUAUACUAAAUAAUUUACAUUGCUGAUUGCUCUCUGUAUCUCCGAAUGUGAUAACUGAAGUACUUAUAAUUACACACUAUGCUGAGUAAUCUUAAUUCCACCUUGAGAUUUAUGAGUAUAUUAUUUUUAUGGGAAAACAUAAGAUAAGAUAAGUGGGUAAUUUUUAUAAUUGCUAAGUUAAGUAGUAUGGAUUAUAAAAGUGGUGUGGUCGUAAAAAGCAUGCAUUGGAUAAAAGAAAAAGAGUAGUGAGUCGUCACGUGAAAGGAGUUGAGUUUCGGUGGUGUGGGAAUUUAAUAAAUAAAAAAUAAAUGAGAAUGAAAUGAGAAAAGUCCGUACGGGUGCAGUCGUACAGGAUAACCUACCCACUCCUACCUCCUUUUUAUUUUUUAUUUUUUAUUUUUUAUUUGGUUGCUCUCUUACGUGUCAUACCGUACAAACCAACUUGACUUUUCUUGACGAUUUUUGAAUUUUAAAAAAUCAGAUAAAUGAAGACAGAUAUUUUAUUUAUUAUUCUCCACCAUUCACAAUUUCCCGUUACACGCCGUUUGCUUUUCUCCCGUUAAUCUAUUUAUCUAUCUCUCUCCCACGCCACUAUUUUUUAAAAAAAAUCUUGAAUUGUUUAUAUAAAUAAACGUCUAUCUCACUACUGAGUGAAAAAAAAAGAAGGCAAAAAAAAAAAACGUCUAUCUCAAUUAGUCGGCUAAAAUAAAUCACUAAUAUUAAACUGGACUCAUCUUUGGAAAAGAAAAUUUAAAACCAUCAGAUAUUCCUUUCUUUUAUGUCCUUGAAUUAUAGUUUAGUUUGUAGGCAAAAGAUGAUAAUAAUAUGAAGAAAUACCUAUCAAUAUCUUUUAAAUUCAUCCUCCUACAAAAGAUGAUAAAAAAAUUAUAUUUAUAAAUAUAAUGUUAUCCAAGUAUUAUUCUUAUCAUUCUCUUAAAAAUAUGUAUACAUCAAGCAAUACACUAGUAUAUUUUACUUUAAAAACAUUUUUGUAUUAAAUGAAUUGAAACAAAAUAGUUAGAACAAACAUCAAUGCUCUUUUGGCUAAGUCACAACUUUUCAAGUUGUUGUUAAAUGUGUUCUUUUACAAGUUUGGUCCAAUUGCAACUUAUACAUUUGUAAUUGCUCAUAAUGUUCUUUGUUUUUCAAUUAUUUACAUAAUUUUAUUUUUAAAACAAUUACGAUCACAUAGAAAACCCCUACGGCAGUGUACAAAACAAAACUCAAUAUUAUAUCAGAUUAUGAAUGACUUAUUCUGUUUUUUAAUUUUAUUUUUAAGAUUGACUAAUUACCAUUGUAAUUCUUUUUAGUUCUCUUUUCUAAGAAUAACUACUAGUUACAAUAUGGACCAUAUUUGAGUGAUUUUUUUUUCUCUCUCUAAAAUCCUUUGGAAAAUCAUGUCAAAUGAAAAUUAAUUGAGUAGCAGUAGGUGAACGAAGAAACAUGAAUCUUUUGGAACUAUAGCAUUGGUUAUUGGUUAAUAUAGUGUUUACAAGCAAAUUAAACUAGAAAGAAAGUCAAAGUGUUUGGCUCCAACUUAAAGAGACACUAGCCUUAAAAGGGACCAGCCGUACGCAGGACAGCCACACGACACUCUCGUUCCUACUUUUCCGUGUUUGACACAUUAAUAUGCUUAAUGAGAACUAUAGAGAGUCAUAACACCAUUAAACGUAACUAUAGAGAGUCAUAACACCAUUAGUAGUUAUAUGUCUCUCUGCAUUAAACGUAAUAGAAAAUAUAUAAAUGCAAUGUUUUCCAAUGUGGUCCAUUUUAAGAUGAUUCGAUUUCAAAGUGGAGGGUGCCCACAUUGCACAUUGGUCUUAGCUUUUAGGGUAUACUGACCUCACUCUUGGCUCCACCUUUGUCUUUUUGUUUUCUUCUUUUCAAUCUUUUGGUAUGGAAAUGACGUUUAAUGACUCAUNNNNNNNNNNNNNNNNNNNNNNNNNNNNNNNNNNNNNNNNNNNNNNNNNNNNNNNNNNNNNNNNNNNNNNNNNNNNNNNNNNNNNNNNNNNNNNNNNNNNNNNNNNNNNNNNNNNNNNNNNNNNNNNNNNNNNNNNNNNNNNNNNNNNNNNNNNNNNNNNNNNNNNNNNNNNNNNNNNNNNNNNNNNNNNNNNNNNNNNNNNNNNNNNNNNNNNNNNNNNNNNNNNNNNNNNNNNNNNNNNNNNNNNNNNNNNNNNNNNNNNNNNNNNNNNNNNNNNNNNNNNNNNNNNNNNNNNNNNNNNNNNNNNNNNNNNNNNNNNNNNNNNNNNNNNNNNNNNNNNNNNNNNNNNNNNNNNNNNNNNNNNNNNNNNNNNNNNNNNNNNNNNNNNNNNNNNNNNNNNNNNNNNNNNNNNNNNNNNNNNNNNNNNNNNNNNAAUAGACCAGAACUAAAGGUAGAGAAGUAAUAAUCACAAAAUGGCUUUUUGUAGGGAUUAUAAAAUUUCAAUGAUCGUUUGGGAUAUGUUUUAUUGACAUUGUUUCAGGUUAUAGCAUAUUUUUCCCUUGCAUAAAGGACAAAGGCCCAUAUGAGUUGAUUUAUUUUUGCGUAGUAGGAAUAUAAGUACAAUAUUAAUGGGCCAGUCCCAUUAAAGAUAAGCACAAAACCUUCCAUGCCAAAGCCGAUGGUAGUUGAUCCAUGCCGGUCCUCCAUGAGGCCAGCUUGUGACCAGUUAAAACACUUCUUGUGAGACUAGUCAGUCAGUCAAUACAAACUUUUCAUCAUCCGAAAAUCUACCAAUAAAUCAAGAGAAGCAAAGACCACGUGCGUAUGUAGAUUUUUGAUAUAGAUGUGAUCGUAUUAAACAGAGAUGCAAAACAUCAAAAAAAGGAAAUUAGUACGCUUAAGAGAUGUGAGAGUAAAAAAAAAAAGAGAGUCAAAGCUCAAACCUCAAAUCAUAAAGUGUAAUAGAAAGGUGACAUCUGAUAGAGUUCUUGGAGAUGCGACCAAAGUCAAAAAGUAUGCAAGUGUUGUCUUCAGACGUGUUGGACGUUGAGGAUGUAAUAGCCAUCAUCUUUCUUUAGGUUGCCUGCACUCCGGCAAAUAUUUGGAUUCUAUUUAGCAAGAAAACGAUAAGACAACGAUGUUCGAUAAACGAAGGCAAAAGGGAUUUGCUGUUGAAUGACAUCUUGACCAUGUUAAGCAAGAAAGGUUCUAGCCUAGCCAUCACAAAAAUAAUUUUGGUAGCUUAAUAAAGAGAGAGAAAAAUAAAUACAAGAGAAAAAUAAAUACAAGAUCAUAUCAAGGAUCCAUUGAAACGUAGCAUCGGCCAGAAUUCGUCCGGAUGCACGCUAAGUCAGCCAGUAUGAUAGUAUUUUCAUCAUAAGUGUUGGAUGUUGAGGCUGUAAUAGCCAUGCUCUCGAGGUUGCAUGCAUUAUGUAAGAUGUAGAUCGCCGCUUUUCUCUCUGUAUCUCUUCUUCCUUUAUACCCAAUCCACUCAACAGCUUCCAGACUCCUGUACAAACUUAGAGGCAAAAAAUCCGGUUCCUUCCACUUUCCUCUUAAACGGUUGCCGCAACAUCUAUGUUGUUUGAACCUGAGAACUCGCAAGUUAGAGCUAUGCAUUAGAAUGUAAGGAAAACAAUCGAGAGCGCAUAUAGCACAUAGCUCUACACACUCUCUCUCAAGGUUUAGAAACAUUUUCCAAACAUGACGCCAUCUUUUUGACAAAACACUUGUCUUUGCCGCUUCUUUUGUCCGAAGGAAUGACAAAAUCUGCACCAAUAACUCGUCAGGUAAAUCACUUAUUCUUCCCAAGGUUGAACCAACUCUGGUUGCUUUCCGAUACAUUGAGAUAUCAAACAAAAUUUGUGGAAAACUGAAAAAGAAAGAAAACAACUUCGUAAAAGACAGCCUUUUGCUAAUAAACGAAUUAGAGAACCCUAAUCAAAUAUGCGCUUCUCUUUCGGUUUUGAUAAUUACAAACCCUAAUAGAUUAUGAUAUUUAUAUAUGAACCCAUAAUGGAAGUAGGAACCCUUAUAUUAAAAGGAAUAUUUAAAAUUACAAAAGCGUACAGUAUGUGCCUUUUUCACAAACUUAAUCCCAAUAUAAUUUGUAUUACAAUUUAUUACCUAUAAUACAAAUUAUUAAAAGAGCGUAUAUGCCUUUUUCACAAACUAAUCCCAAAAAAAAUUCACAAACAAAAGCGUAUUGGAUCCAAUAUAAUUUUUGAGUUGCAACUUGCAAUUAUAAUAGUCAUCAAAAUUUGACUAAAUUUCCCAUAAUACGUAGAAUGUCCAAAUUGUGUUUUUUUUGUUCAAUAAAAUUAAACCAGAAUAUUUUUCUCAUAAAGAAUUUAUGAAAAUUUAUUCGAGAAAUACACUCACCUUAACUGCACUUAAACCGUAAUAUAUAAUUUGGACCACACUUCGCAGAGGCUAAGAUUACUUAAUGGGCUAGGCCCAUGGAGUUAAUAUAAUAGCAAAGCCCUCAUCAUCUUCCUUACGAAGUAACCUUAAACCUAGUCUCUUUGAAAAUUCUCCGAAUCGGAAACUGCAUAAAUACUCGACUUUUUAAUUUCAAAAAGGCGGCUAGGGUUUUUUCGCUUCUAGCUACAAUGUCAUUGUAUCUUCUUAGCGAAUCAUCCUCCGGCUACGCAUUGUUCCAGGUACAAGGUGUAGAUGAGAUUGGACAGAACACGGAGGCGGUUCGGAGCUCCGUCUCGGACCUUAGUCGGUUCGGGCGGGUCGUCCAGCUCACUGCGUUUCACCCAUCACAGUCUGCACUCGAUGCUCUCAACCAAAUCAGCGCCAUCUCUGAAGGUUAACUCUCCACUAAAUUACAGCUCUUUCACUCUCUAGCAUAUUCAUAUACUGUAUUAUUUGCUUUUAUAUUAUAUUUUUAUGCUGGAAAAGAGCUCUUAUAUAAUUAGGUGGGAUUUUGUCUUUAAAGACGACAACUGGAAUCUGCUUAUUCUGUUCUGUAUUAGUUUUUGCUUGAGGUUUUGAUAAGAAGUAUUGGUGAAUUACAUUUUGUAGGGUAUAUGACUGAUGAGCUGAGAAGUUUUCUGGAGCUGAAUCUCCCGAAAGUGAAGGAAGGAAAGAAGCCAAAGUUUAGUUUGGGAGUGGCUGAGCCAAAAAUCGGGUCUUGCAUAUUUGAAGCCACAAAAAUUCCUUGCCAGAGCAAUGAGUUCGUCCAUGAGCUUCUUAGAGGUGUGCGCCAGCAUUUCGAUAGGUUCAUCAAAGACCUAAAGGUGCGAUAUUUAUUUAUGAUUUACCUUGUACCUAUAUCUCUGAUUGUUUUCGCUAUUCUUGCUCAAUAUCAAUUUCUAUAAUGUAGCCUGGUGAUCUGGAAAAAGCUCAACUUGGACUAGCUCACAGUUACAGCAGAGCAAAGGUGAAGUUCAAUGUUAACCGGGUGGAUAACAUGGUUAUUCAAGCUAUUUUCCUGCUUGACACGCUUGAUAAGGAUAUCAAUUCCUUUGCUAUGAGAGUCAGGUUUGUCUUUUUGUUUUGCCUUGCAGAUUACUAUCUUUGUUUUUACCUGAAUAAUGUUUUCUUACCUGCUUUUUAAAACAGGGAAUGGUACUCGUGGCACUUCCCUGAACUUGUCAAGAUAGUAAAUGACAACUACCUUUAUGCACGAGUGUCAAAGAUUAUCGAGGACAAGUCGAAGUUGUCUGAAGAGCACAUCCCAAUGCUUACUGAAGUCUUGGGGGAUGAAGACAAGGCAAGAGAGGUUGUUGAAGCUGGAAAAGCAUCCAUGGGUAAGAAACUGGUGGAGCUUGUUUCAUGAGAAUCAUGAUUUCUUAUUAAAUGUAUCUAUUAGCUCUCUUGUUCUAAAACAUUGCUUGGUUUCCCUACUGAAGGCCAGGAUUUAUCACCCCUUGAUCUGAUCAAUGUCCAGACCUUUGCUCAGAGAGUUAUGGACCUCGCAGAUUACAGGAAGAAGCUCUAUGAUUAUCUUGUUACUAAAAUGAGCGACAUUGCUCCAAAUUUGGCAGCCUUGAUCGGAGAGAUGGUUGGUGCUAGGUUAAUUUCACAUGCAGGAAGUCUGACAAAUCUUGCCAAAUGCCCAUCUUCAACUCUCCAGAUUCUCGGUGCUGAGAAGGCACUUUUCAGGUGCAUUUCAAGCUUUGUUCUGCUACGCAAGUUUAAUUUCACUGCAGUAGCUGACCUUUUAAGUAAAUUUCAGGGCGCUAAAAACACGUGGAAACACACCCAAAUAUGGUUUAAUAUUCCAUUCGUCAUUCAUUGGACGUGCAUCUGCUAAAAACAAGGGCCGUAUUGCUCGUUUCCUUGCAAACAAGUGUUCCAUUGCAUCCCGGAUUGAUUGUUUCGCUGGUAAAAAUCUAGACUUCCCUGAAUAAGAAGGAGGCGUUUGGGAUAGUAAUAAUGCAUUGCUGUUAAUUGCUAACUACAAAACCAUGGUGGUGUCGUAUGCAGAUAGCAGCAGUACAGCUUUCGGUGAGAAACUAAAGGAACAAGUGGAGGAACGACUUGAGUUUUAUGACAAGGGUGUUGCCCCACGUAAGACUGUUGAUGUAAUGAAAGAAGUGAUGGAAAAUCUUGAGAAGAAAGGUACAUCUAACUCUCUUAGUGACCCAACAGAGCUCUCUGAUCUUUUGAGGUAAACGGUUUUGUUUUAUGGGUUGUAUUCUCCUUUCGUAGAUGAGGGAGAAAAAACAGUGGAGGUCUCAGAGAAGAAAAAGAAGAGAAAGACAGAAAAUAAAGAGGAGGAAGAAGAGAAAUCAAAGAAAAAGAAGAAGAAGAGCAAAGCAGGAGAAGAAGAGGAAUUGACAACAACAGAUAAUGGUCACAGCAAGAAGAAGAAGAAAACUAAGUCACAAGAUGCUGAAUAAACAAACAAGCCUUAAACUAGUUUUUUUAGGUUUCUUUCUUCCACAUAGCAAAGAUUACUAAUUAUUUACUAUUGAGUCUUAAACUAGUGUCUUUUUUUUUUCUUCACUCUGUUUUUGACUUUAAAACAACUUUAAACAUGGAAGAGAAAUGAUAUCAGAUUGUGAAACGAACAAGGUUGGUUAUUAGAUUCCAGGUUAAAUUGAAGAUCAAAAUCUUGAAGAUCAAUAUAUGAUUUCUGUUCUUUAAAAAUAUCUGACUAGACAAAUUAACUGUACAAAUAAGGAUUGGAGAAGAUGAAUCAAACAUGUUCUUUAUUAUCUCAAACAAAAAAAAAGACUAAAAUUGCAGAAACCAGAGAAUUCUGCUGCGAAUCAUUACAAAAUGCGAAAACAAAAGAGCAAUGAGAAGAUAAUCUUAAUCGCAGAGAAUGAGUCUAAUCAUGGCGAGAACCAAACACGAAACAGAGAAGAAGAAGAGCGUCACGAAAUCCCUAGCAGACCAUUUCCUCACAGGCUUCGACUCAACUCUCAAACUCUUUGCUCUACGAAGAGCGUCUACUUCUUUGAGCAAAUCAAAUUCGAUACCUUUCUUCUUCAGCUCUUCAACGCAUUUGCGUAACAGCUUCGCAUCUUCUUUCUCCCUCUCUAGCAGCUUCUCAAGAUGCGAUUCCACUUCAGAUUUGUACCGUACCGCCCAAAUGAUCCCCAAGGAAGACAAGAGAGCGCAGAGUGAAGGGAUCCAUGACCUUUUACAGGCACUCGAAGCAGCAGCAACAGACGAAGAAGACGAAGCGUGGAAGAGGAGCAGCAGAGAAAUGGAGUGGAAGAGAAAGAAGAAGAUGUAAAGCUGAGUGAUUUCUCUACGAACAGAGUCGAUCUGAGAUUCUUUGUGAGAGACACGGCUGAGGAUGAGCUCUUCUUCUUUUAGCCAUUGUUUCAGAAGAAGCUUGUGUGUUGGCGUAUCUGCGAUCUGGUGAAGAGGAUGUCUCGUCUUCGCCUCCAUGAUCGUGCUCUGAUCUGACGCCAUUGAAGGUUUGUGAUAUAGAGAAACAGAGAUCGAGAGAGAAAUGUACUAGAGUUGUGUGAUUCGCUGAGAUAAAGAAAUGUGGAUUUUAUUAAUAACGCGAGGCUCUUUAGUAACGGCUAUUUUGGGUUUUUAUUUUAAAAUUUAUGUGCAUUUACAGAUUUGUCCUGAGCGUCUCUAACGGUCAUUUAAAAUGCACGGCUUGGCACCGUCACGCUUUCUUAAAUUGGCCCACGGAAUGUUUGGCCCAUGUAUGGCCCGUAAUUAUAAGUCGACCACUCACGUUAAUCUUGUAAACUAGUAACGCUUGAACCACGUGUCAUCAACAAUACAUAAUGCAACCAAUGGAGUUAUAAAAAAAGCAUUUUCUAUCUAUCUCCGAAUUCCGAACGUUACGAAAUCGUAACAGCACUUAAGGAGGCUAAGCACGCAGACAAUGGUGAUGAUUCACACUUACAUGCAAAUAGUGAAAAGAGCAAUAAAAGCAUGAACAAGAAGCUGGCUUUGCUUGCAAGACUUCUUCUCCUCACCACACUUGUAACAAGAAUAUCAGUAAUCACCAGAGCCGAUGAAGAGCUAAUGAUGCAAGAAUGCCAUAACUCUGACAACCCCACUUUGUGUCUUCGCUGUCUAAGCUCCGACCCCUCUUCUCCUGAAGCCGACAAAGUUGGACUGGCUCGAAUCAUCCUCAAAUGUAUCAACUCUCACCUCCUUACCCUUACCAAGAGUGCUUCCACUUUGGGCUCCAUGCACUACCGGAAUCCCAUGGCUGCAUCAGCGUUGAAGCAGUGCGGUUUGGGUUUCUCCACGGCUAAGCGUGGCGUGCGAGAAGCCGACGCUCACUUGAUAGCCGGAGACUACGACAAGUCUGCGUAUGAUGUCAGCGUGAAGGUGGUGGAUCCUCCGGUCUCGUGCAAAACCAGUCUCGAGACACUCAACAUCCAAGUGCCCUCAAGUUUUCGUUACCAUAUGGAGGUUUACUUGGCGUUGACUCAAUCUCUCCUCAGGAUCAUUGAUCGCUUCUAGAUAGUUUAUUGUUUCUCCAGCAAGUCAUUGUCUUAUCUUAAUAUCAUCAAGAGUCUAUAACUAUGUCUAAGCCUCCAACCAAAAUCCAAAUUGGCUUGUUCUUGUUGUCAUUUCAAGACUGAAUGCAAAAUAGUGAUACCUUAAGUUAAGAAGCUAAAAACAAAGUAGCUGAUGUUUUUAUAUGCAUGGUUUCUAAGUGGAAGGUUUGUAUGAAAAUUGGUGCUUAUAGUAUUUUAAAAACAAAGACAUUAAUGAAUCAAGAAUGAGUUUGAUCUUAACGUCAAGAUCAUCACAAAGUACGAAAUAGAACUCAGAAGUUUUAUGAUAACAUAAAAAAGCCACAAAUUGCCGGAGAUGAAGAAUUGAAUGUUUAUUUUACCUACUCUGUUUGUCGAAACAGAGUUUCUAACAAAAACUAAUUUAUCGUCUUCCACUUGAACAUGAAAGUAACUCAGGUAUGUCAUCGUUAGGUGACAACGUUUGGUCUGUUCAAAUCCUUCUAUGGGUUGUUUUUAAAAUGGUUCAUGUAUUGCUAAUGGUUCUGACUCAAAACUCAAAGCUGUAAUAUUUCAUUGCCUUUUUAGCUUUACUCCUUUUAAAUACAGUUGUUCCAAUCAAUGAAUAUGCAUGGUUAAUUACUCAGUAACAGAAACAAUUGGUAAUCUAUCUUCUAGAAAGAAAGAUAGAUAAUGUUUAGGUAGCAACUCGAGCACGGUUGCCGAAGCAUGUAGAACAAAAUCAGGACAUAUCUUCUCUUUUUCGGCAGCAUAUACAAUAGUAAAUGUAACUCUGUGGGGAAAAUAUACUCUUCUAAAGUGGAUUAAAUUUUAUGUGAAAAUAGUUGGAAAAAAAAAAAACAAAACUUUGUGGCUACUUUUAUUUUUGGUCCUUCAAGGGAACAGCUACAUGCCUAAAAGAUUCAUUCCUCAGGCAACAUGCACCAAUUAACAAUAGCCAAACACAACUUGCACGUUAAUAAGCUUUUUUUCUUUUCUUUUCAUCUAACUCUUUCAUUUUUUAUCUCUACCUCUCAGAUUCUUUUUUGCCCUGAAAACCUCGUUUUAAGAACAAAUACAAGAAAAUGUUGAAAUUAUGUGACAGUUUAUAAUACAUUUUUAAGGGAUUACUAUUAACUGUAUAGAUCAGUCUUUUUUUGAGAAGAAUGAAUGCUUCUUUCAAGUGUAGGAUAAAUAAAGGUAGGAAUCUUUUCUGAUAACAAAUAAAAGAUCGAACUAAGAUAUCAGUUUCGCUUUAGCUUAACAGAACACAUGAGAGUAAGAUUUUGCAAGAACCAACUUUUUUAAGUUUGAACGAAAAAGCAACCAAAAACUCAAAAUUACAUAUAUAUAUAUAUAAACAAUUCAGUAAAAAGGUAUCAGUACUUUGAAGUGCAGCACCAACACGACGCAGAGUUUCAGAUAUUGAUGUAGUUCACUGUUCUUAGAGAUAGCUGAUGAGUUUUCAUAAUUUGAGAGCAUAUAUAAUUAGAUCCACAAAUAGGAUAAGAUCGGAUAAUAGAUUUUGAAAUAAAUGAUAUUCUAUUCCUAUGCAUGGCAAUUUCGUAUUCACUUUUUUUUUGUUUUUGUUUUUGGUAAUAAUUAAUGUGAAUACCCAAUUCUCAUGUUGAUUUUAUUAGUUACAAUAGAUGACAUAUAAUUAACUGGCACGUUAUGAUGUAUAGUUUGAGAUAUUUGGAAGAUCUUCUUUUUUCUAAUGAAAUAUUUCAUUGUCUAGUCCAAAAGACGAGUUUGAAGCUUAGCAGAUCAUGGACAGAGAAUCUAAUAUCAUGAAGAAUUGUACAAACUUCACAGAAAACAAGAUAAAGGACCCAAAGAAAAACAUGUCUCACUUUAAUCUUUGAAUGCAUAUUCAGUCAUGUCAUGACCCAUCCAUCAUCUUUCCUUCGAAUCUCCUAUCUCACUGAACAUGUUUUGAGGCAGCCCUCCGUAUUUGAUAUCUGCGCUUAGUUAUGAUCUCAUUCCCACUAGCCAUAUUUGAUUACUUUAGUUUUUUUUGCAUUGUCUCAAUUUUUCAAAAAAAAAAAAAAAACACAUACACCAAUUCAUGAUGAUUUAGUGGUUGAAAUAUAUGUUAUACUACAACUUAGUUAAGGAUUUGAAUCAUGCAUCUUAAAUGGCAAGAAUCUUCACAGAUCCCAUAAUUUGAUUGGUGACCAAAGUUUAUAUAUCAGACCUUGCAUAAACAUAUACGCAUACAUGCAUGGUUCUCAUGCAAAAGCACAAUUAUAAAUUCUGCAACCAGGGCUUAUCAGCUAGACUGUGGAAAGAGGGGGUAAAUAGGCGCAAAUCUAAAGUUCAUAGACAAGAUUUGUAAAUAUUUAUAGGUAGAUUCAAGUCGUAGCAGGGGCUGUUUAGUUCAUGGGAGUGAUAAAUAAAUUAAAAAUGGUGCAAGAACAUGUGUUAAGAUUCUGGGGCUAGGCAUAGGGUUUCUCUUUACGUAGUUUUCAUAGCGUGUGUAUUUGCGUACGGCCUUUUGAAAAAAACGCGAAAACAUUUAUUCUCUCAUUUUUUUCUUUCUGUUUAAUGGAAAAAGUCGAGACAAGAACAUUGGCAACUGAGGACAACUGGUGUGGCUUAAAUUAGAUAUCUAAUUAUUCGCCUGUGCUCCAUAUAUUAUCUAACCUAUCACCAUUCGACAUAUAUGUAUCUUUAGUAUAUCAAGAUUUAUAUUCUAUCAAUAAUUAAGCUGUUUAUAUUUUUCAUUUUUAUCAUCUGUUUUUUAAUAUGUUGAAUACAAGAAGAACAAAAAGUCCUUAAGAGGGAUAGGUUGGAUGAAAUGUAGAAAGAAAGAAAGUGAAAAACUAACGAAAAAUAGAAACAGUUAGAACAUAAAAGGACAGAAAAAGCUGGUAAUAACUAAAGAUGUUAAGUUAAUUAGAAAAUGGUUUUGACAGCAUUAAAAGAGAGUGUUAUUAACAGAGCAGAGAGUCGUCUCACUAACUGUAAAACUCUGGUGUGUUCGGUCUCCCCAAUUAGUGUUACGGUCAGCCUGCCCGAACUAUCAACAAAAACUCCUAUAUAUAUACACACUUUGCACACACUCUCAUUUAAUUUCCUCCCAAAACAACCCAAAACUAAUUAACAAAAAUGGCAUCAUCUAUUCCUCAGUUAUACGGCGCUGAUUUCACAGCAUUUUCCGGCGAGACUUCUUCGCAGUUUCACGGCUCUUCUUCAUGUCCUGACGUGGACUCAGCGUUAUAUAGCUACCUUGACGACUGUUAUGGCUCCUUCAACACCUCUUCUUCUAAUCCAGCAGAAUCCAUCUUUUUACCCCAACUUUUUGGAAUCUCUGACGUCUCUGCGCCGCCUGAUGAAUACAACAACUAUUACCAGAAAAUGAGUGUGAAUAAUAAUGCUACACAAUACUUUCACGGUGGGGAUCAAGAAUACUACGGUUUUUCACCGGAGAUCAAGCCCUCGUUCCGUCCGGCCACAGGAGAGCAAUCAUGGGUACGUAUACACGUCCUCGAAAUCAUUAACUAAAGAGAGUGACAUGCAUGUGUAUUACUAGUUAAUUAUUAAUAUACGUAAGAAUUGAAAUAUGAAUAUGAAGCAGGGAAAUAGUGAAGGAGGGAUACAAGCUGAGCCAAACAUAAAAGUGGGACGCUAUUCGGUGGAGGAACGUAAAGACAGGAUCAUGAGGUACUUGAAGAAAAAGAACCAACGCAACUUCAAUAAGACCAUCAAGGUACGUAUACAUCACUCUCAUUCUUAUUUAGAUAAUUAUACUCGUUAAGAAAGACAGUUUUAAAACUAUAUGUAUAUAUCCAGUAUGUUUGCCGUAAAACCCUAGCCGACCGGCGUGUUCGCGUUCGGGGACGAUUUGCCAGAAACAAUGACACAUGUGAAGAACAAUCUCCCAUGUCUAAGAAUCACAACAACCAUUCUGAAAAAGAGGAAGAUAUGUUUUCAGGAUCAGACGACUAUCUAAUACAGGUAUUGUUUUUAAUUAUAUUCCCCAUGACAGUAUAUAUAUAUAUGAUAUGCCAUCAUCAAUUAUUAGUAAUUUGUAAAGCUAAUUAGUGCAUCCCUAUUUCAGCAGAUGGAACACGAUGACGGAUGGCUUCACGAAGCAAUGUCCAACCUCAUCCCUUUUCCUUGUGAAUUUGACGCACCUGGAGAUGCUCAUCAUUCAAACACUUGGAGCUUCUGAUCUUACUACCUAAUCUCAUUUACAUACGAAUCAAUGAAUGUCGCUAGCUAUUAAAUUUGAUGAUCAGUUAGUUUAGUUUGAUUAAUUAAGCAGCUUAUUUAUUUUUAUGGUAGAUUUAUCAUAAUGUACUUAGUUACUUAUUCCUGGGGUUAAUGAACACAUGAAGAUUCUGUCUAGUGAAUAAAAUAAAAGAACUUCACUUAAUCAUCAUCAUCAUCAUCAUCUAAUUAUGACGUGAGAAUAAAAUUUUAGCCAAUGGCGAUCUCAAUACAAGAGAAAGUUAUUAUGGUUCCUUUUGAUCUACUUUACCUUUUUACAGUGAAUCAAAGUUUAUAUAAUGUGAAAACCAAAAAGACGAUUCUAAGAUGAGUGAAAAGUUUGUUGAGAUUAUUUAAGGCAAACAACAUCUUUUUUACGAUCGAUGCGAAUAAAUUGGGUGAGGUCGAUAAGAGAUUAAAAUUAACUAGUAGUGGAUUCACGGAACAAUUGUGUAUUAAGGAAUAUAUGAUGCAAGUUUUAAUCAUAAGACGAAUGACUAAACGUAAACAUAUAUAGCUUGUGGCCUUUCUCUUCGAUGCUUACAUAUGAAUGGAUAUAAAGAAUAUAAUGCCGACUAGCUAAUUGGUCACAGGCAAAAACACAAAAACAUGAUAAGUUGUACACAAAAUUCUUGCAAUGAUAGGCAAGGAGCUAAAGAAUGCAUGUUGUGUCCACAAAUUAAAGCAUCCAAAUAAUUUCAUUUAUAGGGUUUAAUUAUUAAUUUUGAUGCAUGAUGAAAAUAUAGCUAGCUAUAUAGAGAGAGAGAGAGAGGGGGGUGGAGAUGAAAGACAUGAUACGGAACCAAGUUCCAAUCACUUUUUUAAGACAUAUAAUUCUUAUAACAAACAUAAUAAGGCUUCAAAAUCUGCAAAUUAUAUUCUCUGAAAUUUGUCCCCUUUAUUUUGUUUUCUGCUUUGACGAAUCUUUGUGAAGUUGAAGGCUGAAGGCUGAAGCCCUCUCGUUUGCUUUUACUUUUCCAUAAACCAUGUGCAUCAUUUUUCUUGGAAAAAAAAAAUCAGUUUUAUGAUCCUUUCUUCUUAUUUUAUUUUGGCUCAACUCAUCAGUUUUAUGAUCCAAAAUCCUAACACUGAAUAUGACAUGUUGAACUAAACAAGUUAUUAUAUAUGGAGAAAUGGGAAACAAACAACCUCUUCAUUCUUCAAUUUAUUGUAGGCCCGACAGCUUAUUAUUACUACUCGGGUCUCCACCGAAUUUAUAUAUGUUAAGGCUCACGAUUUGGAUCGAUCAUAGCAAACUAUAUAUUCAUGACACUGAAGUGUGUUGACCCUGCUUCUUGACGUUGGGAACAUAUAUUUGAUACAACCUAUCGUAUAUGCUUAGGUCAAAUUAAAACAAGAUAAUAAAGAUUGCAUCAAAAUAAUCAUUAAUUGUUAUAUUCAUUUUGUCAUUUUUACUAUCUCUCAAGAAAGAUAUCAGUGGUUACCCAUUUUUCAAUAAUUUCGGUGAAUUCCCACUAUCUCAAACUUUGUUUUUUGUCUUCUAUAUAUAAUUGGUCAACUUGAACAGGCAAAAGGCAAUAGGAAUUCAUUCAACUCUCUAAAACUCAAGUGAUACAAGUGUUCCAAUUAGUAUAAUGUACAAAUUCAAUUCACUACAAGUUUUUACGCUGGUUAAACCCUUAGUUAAUUUGGCUGAUAUAAUGUUGCAAUUUAGUUAAGAGUUUGUACGUUAUUCUUUGGAUUACUAGGGACAUUGUCAUUAAUAAAUUAAAAAAACUGUCGACAGUAUUGUACUUAUUUGCCAGUCUCUUAUAUUCUUUUCCUAUGCUUUUUAUUUUAUAUAUCUCCCUUGUUUAACCAUCUUUAAUUUGGUGGUUUUCUUGGCACUUUGUUGCCUUACUACUUUGUAUCUCCUUUGGUUUGGUGUAUUUCUUCCUUUUAUGUUACAUAUAGAGUAAACAUAUAUAAAGAGUAAAAAUGUUAAUGUUGCAAUUUGAUUAGUAUUUGAAAGACACACAAAUUAAUACAAUUGCGAAUUGUAUACAUAUAGUAUAACAUGCUUUUUUAAAGGAAUUGCGCCUUCACACAGAUUGUUGUGCUUGUGAUGCGUUGAAUUUAAGUAAUACAAAAUGCUUUUGUCCACUUCAAUAAAAUGUUACAAAGAUUCGGUGUUGGAUUUUCCAAUUUUUCUUAUGAAGCCUGUGUGUGUUACCGUUAGAGCAGUGAAGGUCGCUCUCUAUGCAUGUUGAAAACGAAAGCUACAAUCAACAACUUACCCCUUCAAUGAGAGGGAGAGCUAUAAUCUCUCUACUUCCAAGCCUCAAUCUAGUAUUAUUUGUGUUUUUUCUAUGCAUUUCUGAUAUUCCUAUAUAUCUUUUCGAAAAUGAUAUUUGAGUUUUUAUGCAUUUCUAAUAUUCCCAUAUUUUUUUCUGAAAAUGAUAGCAAACAGGGACAAUUGUUUUCUUAUGUGUUUUUUACCCCUUCCAAAUCUAAUGAUAUAUAUAUAUAUAAGUCAACGAUUAUGUUCUUUCGUGCAAUUUUAAGGAUCAAAUGUUUUAUUUUUAUACAUUUUUGGAUUGCAGAAAGUGAAACUAGGAUCGAUGUCAUAUAAUAAGAGAAAGUGCAACUAUCUUUUGGUAUAUGUGCAUUUUGGUAAGAAUAUUGAUUAUUCAAUUUAUUUAUGAGACGAGUAGUUUAAUUAGGGGGGGUACCGGGUACAUAUCAUCAAACAUAGGAUUAAGCAGAUGAUUAAAGUGAUGUAUAUUGCAUUUAAUAAAGAGUCGACGUUGAGAUCAACAGAGCCAUGUGUUAUCUAAUCAUGCAGCAAUUGAAUUUAACAUCUUCAAAAGAAAUAAAAGAAUUGUUACAUAUAUACUGUACAUGUGGUUCGUGGAGAUUUUGGAAAAUAAGAUAAUGCAACGAUGGCCACAAGACAGAGUCCGAUCCGACAGAAUCUUUAUAGAAAAUUAUACAUUGCUAGACUAGAUGAUGGGGUUGACCUUUCCCACUGAACUGGGAAAAAAAAUCUGACCCUUUUCCUUUUUCUAUGUAAUUUGAAAGCACUUAAAAAUCCAAUCAUGAAAACGAUUAACAAAGUUAAAAGUGGGAAAUCAGUAAUCUUCUUCUGAGGAAGCUAAUCAAAACAGCUAGGGACGUAGUUAUUGCAUGCAACUGUGUACCAAUAGCGACCUUGUUACCCAAAUGUGAGAUUUCACUUCCGUUUGUCUUUUUUCACAAUUUUUUUCUUCGAGACAAGACAUCCCUCUCCCAUCUUCUUUUAAUAUUUUCAAACAUUUAACUUUUUCAGUUUUUAAAAAGAUAUGUAGGAAUAUCAGAAAUUGAUUUCAAAACAUAUAAUUUACCUAGCUUCAAUAGCAUUUUCUUAGGUAUUGUGAGUAGACAUUAAUAUACUACUAAUACAAUUUGAGUUUUUUUUCGCAUUUCUUUUUUUUGGUGAGAUCAUCAACACAUAUAUUAAAGUCACACAAUUUUGGUAAUCCAAAGAAAAAAAAACAAAAAAAGUAAGAACAUACCGACAUAGGCAUCCGCUUUGGUGGGCUUCUAGCAGGAGUAUUUUAGCUUUCAACGUACUGGGCUUUCAAUUUAAAGCCCAUAACAAUAAAACAUAGCCCAAGGCGUUGACAUUGAAGGAGGGGCAUGGCUCACGGUAGCCCGCCGUUAAGUAGUAUUAUCAGGCGUGAUUUUUGAGUCAAACUAUUUAGAAGCCAAAAAUGAAAGUCUACUAGAAUUUAUAAUUAACUUCUUCUAUUCUUUUUUUUUUUAUUAAAGAGCUACAAGCAUAAUUUGCUUACGUAUAUCGGUAUAUAUAUACCCACCUAAAGAUGUAUUUGUUUACCUAUUUAAUUUUUCUUAUAUGUUAUAGUUUGAUAUGUGAAUGUCUUUGUGUUUAAUGGCAAGACGCACACCUGACACCACAUGUCCUCUUGUAAGAAAACUAGCUAUAGAUAACCCUAACGUAAGAUGUUUUUAUUUAAAUAUAUAUAGCAUUGAAUGGUUGAAGCAUUUUUAUACCAAGAAAAUGAAAUAAUUCAACGUUUACUUUUAUUUGGAUUAACAUGCAUCAAACUUUUAUGUAGAAUGGGGGUUGGUAAAAUGUUUGACAAACUCAUUGGCAAAACAUUAAAUCAAAUAUCAAUGAGAAGAUAUGUACCAUGUAGGUAGUUGAAAUAUAUUAAAACUCCCUCUUUCGAUACACUACGUACGUACAGAAAAUUAUAUCGAACUCUUGGCAUUAUGCACGCUUGGUAUUUUCGUUAGUAUUUAUAGCCGCUUCACUUUGUUACUUCUCAACAUUCAGUUUGCAAUCUAACAAGAGCAUAAAACACAUUCAAAAUUUCAAGCAGAAGUGUAGAGACAAUGGCUAUCAUCAACUUCGAGGACCAACCCACAUUGUACAAUUUCGUGGUCAAACAAGGCAACGGCGUGAAAGGUAUGAUAGACUCAGGCCUCUCCAGUGUUCCACAGCCCUUCGUCCAGCCUAUCUCUGAGCGAAUCCCGACCCAAAACGCCUAUACGUGUGAGGCUUCCCAGCCAAUCGAUCUUUUCCACCUAAAUGGUCCACACCACAAAGAGGUGGCCAAACAGAUCGUCGAAGCUGCCGAGACACUUGGCUUCUUCCAGGUAAAUAAUAGUUGACACAUAUCAUUUUGGUUGGUGUAGAGAUGAGCUACAUAUGUGAGUAAACAUGUAUAAACUUGAUCUGGAUGAUACAAUCAAUCUUAUCUUAUGAACUUACGUUAAAAAUGCUUGCUUAUAAGAUCGAGUGUCUUUAUCAAACUCUUAAAAAUGCAUGUUUAGUAAUAUGAAAACUGUAUCAUUCUGAGGAUGGAUUGCAAAUGGCAGGUGGUAAACCAUGGUGUUUCGGUGGAGCUGCUAGACUUGCUAAAAACAUCGGCUCAUGAGUUUUUUGCACAAUCACCUGAGGAAAAAGCGAUAUAUUUGAAAGAAGUGAGUCCAAGCAAGCUGGUUAAGUACGGAACAAGUUUCGUGCCAGAUAAGGAGAAGGCGAUUGAGUGGAAGGAUUAUGUGAGUAUGAUGUACACCAGUGACCAUGAGGCUCUCCAACACUGGCCUCAACCAUGCAGGUAUAUACAUAUGUACUAAACUCUACUUUAAACUUGUGUUAUAUAGAUAGUGUAUAAAUGCUAGGAAACUCAUGUUGAAAAUGAGAUGAAAUGUAAAAAAUAAUAUAUAGAAAGAAAUAAAUCAAUAAUAUUCAUUCGGUUUUGAAUCAUAAACUUACAAAAUAUAAACGUGUUGACAGAGAGGUGGCUCUUAAGUUCCUGAAGUCAUCGAUGGAAAUGGUGGAAAAUAUAGUUAACAUUCUGAUGGAGAAUGUAGGAGUGAAACUGGAAGAAGAGAGGAUGAAUGGUUUGAUGGGAACCAAGAUGGUCAACAUGAACUACUACCCCACUUGCCCGAGCCCCGAGCUGACAAUUGGCGUCGGCCGUCACUCCGACAUGGGUAUGUUGACUGUUUUGUUACAAGACGGCAUUGGUGGUCUCUACGUCAAACUAGACAACGGUGAAUGGGUUGAGAUCCCUCCUGUUCACGGAGCUUUGGUUAUCAACAUCGGUGACACUUUGCAGGUUUGUUUAAACGAAUUUAUAAUAUAUAUUUUACAUACUAUAUAUAUAUAUAUGCUGUAUCCAUAUUUAUUUUUGAUAUAUAUUCUAAUACAAAUAUGUAAAAAUGUCAACAGAUUUUGAGCAAUGGGAAGUACAAAAGUGCGGAGCAUAGGGUUCGAACCACAAACGUAGGAUCGAGAGUAUCUGUGCCCAUUUUCACGGCACCUAAUCCUUCGGAAAAGAUUGGACCGUUGGCGGAAGUUGUGAAACGCGACGGAGUGGCUCGAUACAAGGAGCUGUUGUUUCAAGACUACAUGAAUAACUUUUUCAGCCAACCACACGACGGCAAAAAAUCUCUCGACUUCGCAUGUGCCGAGUGAUGCUAUCAACAGUUGCCACGUAACAGCUACUCGCGAGCCUCUGUUUCUUUUCUAUCCUUCCUUUGUUCUCUUUUUCUAUCUUUAGUCCCACGUUACACGGAGUUGUUGUCUUGUUGUUUCCCUUUUUCUUGUUUUGUUUUGUUUUCUUUUUUAUGUAACUUUUUUUAAUCCUUGUUCGAUCCCCAUGUUUUUAUUUCGGUACAAUAAAAAAUGUCCUUCUACGUGUGCAUUCUGAAACAUAAUUGAUCUUUUAUCAAACUUUCAUGCGUGUGUUGGGUUGAAUGGUUUGGGUUCCUUUUACCAAAAUUUCAAAGUUAUUUAACUUUUUACCAAAAAAAAAAAAAUUCAAAGUCCCAGAGUCUGACCUACGUAUUGAUUUUUUUUACUGCAAUGAUUAUAUAACUUUUUACCAAUUCUCCAAGGACUUUUCCCUUCAUUAUUAUUUCCAUUUUUCAUCUCGCUUUCAAGGCAUACUAUACUUACGAUUUAGACUUAUUAUCGGCUUCUAGGUCGUUCUCGUUUUUUCGUUGACUAUUUCUAAAAAUGCAAAAUAUAUGGGACAAUUUUGAAGAAAGUCGAUAAUGACGUAAGCGGUAUGGGAUUAUGGGACUUUCAUGUUAUGACGUGAAUCGUGUUACUUCAAACAUUGUGACGUUAGAUGUUUACUGAUUAUUCAAACCUCGUGCUUUUUGCUUCCUUAAUUCUUCUAAUUAAAUUUUUGCUUUUUUACUUUUGUAUUAGAGUAAAUUUCCACUUACACCCAAUUAAAACUCGUUAACUCAGCCACUGAUUCGAAUAAUUCCAUGUAACUACCUAAACCACUUUGUUAAAAGUAUUUUACGUAUGUCUUACAUUAAUCUUAUGGUCGAUCACAUCGUUUAUUAUGACAAAAAUUCAUAUUAAUUAUUACAGUAAUCCAAAAACGAUAAAUCUUAUUGAUCAUUCUGCUGCAGCUUCUAUUCAAAUAUAUUUUUUCCACAUGAAACAAUUUAAGGUAAUUAUAACUUCUUAUAAUGCCUAAAAAAAGGUUAAGAAAUUAGAAUAAGACGGAGAGGAAGAUGUCCAACAAGAACAACUUGGGGUCAACCAUUGAUGACUCUGGUUGAAUUAUCCUUUGACUUGACCAGCCGCUACGAAUUGACUCAACAAAUUGAAACAAACUAUUAAUAGGGGAUAUAUGUUAUACUCAUUCUCCGAUUUUAAUUCUAUCCUUACAAAUGAAUUUAUAAAAAAAAUUCAUGUUAUUCAUUUUUGAGUGAAAAAAUGAGUAUCUGAAAUACAAGAUUCCCCUUUUUAUAGCGUUUUCAUGGAUCCCCCUUUUUUCUUACUUCUAUUUUACAUCAAAAUUAGAUUAGUUAAUAAUAGUAGUACUAGUUUCUUUUGUUGAAAGGUAAAUGCUUGUGGUGGAGGAUGAUUCCUUUACCAAAAGGUUAUCUAAAGAUGUGGUAAAGAUUUGGACAAAAAAAGUCAGGGAUCAACAUUAGCUUGAACAACACUUUCUCCUAGAGUGAGUUUUGACAAUGAGGAGUAUAUAUUAAUGGGAGACUCUUUAGUGCAGUGGAAAUUGCGUUUUAAUUAUUAGUAGUUCCACUUCUUUUUACUAAUUGAUAGCAUAUUUGCAAAACUUUACUCACGCUCAUCGGAUCAAACUUUCGCCUCUCAUGGUUUGCAAAUAUAGUUACAACAAUCACCACUGCAUACAAUAUAAUAGGCUUUUUCGUAUUUAAAAAGAAGACAAAAACUGUAGUGUACAUAUUAUGGUAAAGCAUGUUUGUCAUAUAUGUAUCUUGACAUUUAUGCGUAUAUCGGUAUAUGCGAUUAUUGAUUGACACUGUACAUGAUCAUCCAAACAAUAUAUAUCGAAUUUAAUACAAUUCUAGAAAGGAAAAUAUGAAUAUCUAUUUUUGUAAUUAUAAAUAAAUUUGACCAAUUCAAACAACGUAUAAUUGUAAUUUCAGAACAUCAGCCCACUCAAAGAAUUUCAGAAAUUUCUGGUUGUAAAAAUUGUAGUGGGAAAAUAUCCAACAAAGUUUCAUAUGGUGGAAACUAACUCUUCCACAUAUGUUAAGAGUUUUUUUUUUUUGUUUUUUUGUUUUUGAUAAACCUAUCUGUUGAGCCGGUCAUGUUAAGAGUUAAAAGUAAUGUGACUAGAUAUUUUUUUAUCCAAAAUUAAUAUCGAACUUAGAAUAUUUGUGAACUGAAAGUCUGAAACUAUCCCGUAACUGUAGUCGCAAGUACUGAAAACAUGUGACAAUAAACGACUUAAUUACCUGUUUGAAGUGAGAAAGGAACUGACGGGUAUUAUUCGGUUUUUGAGUAGGUGGCUUUGUCAUUUGUCAAUUUCAGAGAAACUGCCAAAUAAGUAGAAAAAUGUAACAUUAUUCAUGUUUUUUUUUUUUUACUUUUUCUUUUGUUGAUUUCCCCAAGUUAAAAAAUUUCAAACGAAGCAAAACAAAUCCAACCUUUACGAGCACAAAGUCGGAGUUAAUUAUGCGUUUAACGUCAUGAUGGUUGAUAGAUGUUUCGUGGUGAGCGCGGUAUAUGCGAAGAAUAAUGAUGAUGAUACAAGAAGUUAAUGUUUACUUAACCUUUUACCAAAAAAAAGAAAAGAAAGAAGUUUUGUAACGUUGAAUCCUCGUCAGACACUUUGGAAGAGGAAAACACAAACAUCUAAACUUGGUGUGAAAGGUCAGUCCUCUCCCUGGCGUUUUCUUGUGCGUUCUAAUAAUAUGAAUGGUAAAAGCGUCAUACGUAUUGCGUCUACGACUCCACGUAUUGCGAUGCGAAAAGACUGAUUCUAAAAUCUCAAGCCCGAAAGACUUUUACCGGGUCGGAUCAUUGAUUGCAAAGGAUUUGUAAGUCAACAGACAUGACUUGACCAAAUCGGAUAAUUGAUUGGAUUAUAAAGGAUUAAUAAGACACACACGACACAAACUCUCUUUAUUAUAUAAAGAGCGCAAAAGGAGAAAUAGUAAAACCAAAUCCAUCCAUCUAUGGAGAAGAUGAUGGGAUUACGGGACAACAUAAGAGUAUCAGAAGAAGAUGAGAAGGAAGUGGUAAAGCUUCCAGGAUUCAGGUUUCAUCCCACGGACGAGGAGCUCGUAGGGUAUUAUCUUUCUAAGAAAGUACUCCUCAAGAAACCGAGCAAGAUCGAUGAAAUUGUCAGCCAAAUCGAUAUCUAUAAAUUCGAUCCCUGGGAUCUUCCAAGUAAGUUUUGUUUUACACCCUCUAGCUAAUUUCUUUUGUUUUCUUGCACCAGUACUAGUCCAGACCAUGCAAAUACAUAUCAUUAAUUAGGUCUUAUACGCUUACAAGGGAGAUUACAUGUAUGCAUGUUUGUGAACUGAUGAUAAAACGUAAUGUUUGUUUGAAGGGUCGAGCAACAUGGAGAAGGAAAACUACUUCUUUUGCAAGAGAGGAAGGAAAUACAGAAACAGCAUAAGGCCGAACCGGGUGACUGGUUCCGGUUUUUGGAAAGCCACGGGGAUAGACAAACCUGUCUAUUCCGAUGGACCUAGUAAAACUGUGAUCGGUCUUAAGAAGACACUCGUGUAUUACCUAGGAAGCGCCGGGAAAGGAACCAAGACAGAUUGGAUGAUGCACGAGUUUCGUCUCCCCACAGCCAAUGACACAAUCCCCGGUGGACCUACGCACUCUAACCCUACUCCAACUUCCUCACUACAAGCAGUAAGUUUGCAUACUCGAUCAUAUCAUGCAUAUAAACUUGAACGUUUUAAACGGCAAUCAUAUAUAUAUUACUACCUUUUUUUUCGAAAUUAAAGUUUUUGGAAGUGUGGUUGAUUCUCACUCUAGUAUAUAAAUCGCAGGAAGUGUGGACGUUAUGCCGGAUAUUCAAGAGAAAUGUGUCUAGUCAUAAAUACACUUCGGACUGGAGAGAAUUAGCAAAUGGUAAACGGGUGAAGCAGCAACAAUCUAAUUACAAAGAAGCAUACAUCAGUUUUGGUGACAAUGAAAGUAGUAGUAGUACCAACGUGACCAAAGGGAUCAGUUACGAGAGAAGUUUUUUCCAGCUUCACCAAACUCAUCAACAACAGGACCAGCCAAUUCCUAUGGACACCACACAGGUUGAUUCGCUUCACGAUUUCUCCACCGAUAUUAACACUGAUCACCAUGAAACCUACGACGACUGGGACGAGCUUCGAUCGGUUGUGGAAUUUGCUUUCCCACCUUCUUCUUUUAGUUAGAUCUUUAAACACACUAGUUAACUUACUCGCAUAUAUUAUGUUACUUGGACGUUUUGUAUUAUUAUAUAUUAUAAAUAUGGAUCUUUUGUCUGUAUAAUGAGUGCACCUGAUUACAUAUUAUUUGUAUAAUUCUCCUUUGUUUUAUGUCCUACAAUAUUUAUUUGCAUAGUUUAGUCUUGGUAUCUCAUUGUACAUGUGAUGCUGANNNNNNNNNNNNNNNNNNNNNNNNNNNNNNNNNNNNNNNNNNNNNNNNNNNNNNNNNNNNNNNNNNNNNNNNNNNNNNNNNNAAUGAAAUUAAUCAAAUUAUAAGGCUUAUGAUAAAAGUGGGAAACACUCGGAUAGAGCUUUUUUUUGAAAAACAAGCCCAUAUAAUAUUUGGGCUUAUUAGAUUAUUAGAGCCCAUAGGAAGUGUUACGGGAGUUUUAACACUCGGAUCCUUCAUUUGUUAUGGGAAUUAGUUAAAACAGCCUUACCUGUAAAGGAGUGAAAGAAUUUGGCUUUCUGUUUCCAUUAAGCUUCUUUCUUGCCUUUUUGUUUCUUUUUCCUAGAAUUUUUGUUCUUGUUUUUGUAGCAAUGAUGCAGUUCAAGUGACAGAUUUGAAUUACAGUUUACAACCAAUCAUUUUGGUAUGUUUAGUUUAGAAGAACAUAUUAUCUCCUCCUUAUUUGCUUCUUUGUAGAACAUUUUGUUUGUUGCUUUUUACUUAACUUGUUAAGUGUUAACUUACGAUGAUGAGGAAUCUUUCUAUGUUAUAGAUGGUUUAUAUAAUAUUCCAGGUCAUAUUCUGUGGACGAGCCUUCUUUUGGAGAAGAUGAAGAAAACAGCUAAUGAAAGCAAUAGAGAAGGGAGAAUUGUGUUACAAUACUUUGCAAGCAUAUGGUCAAUCAAAGCUCUGUAACAUUUUCUUUUUGAACAAUUAUGAGCGUCUUUUGACAAAUCUCUUCCCAUGUUUUUUUCUUCAGGACUUUGCUCUGAUACCGUUGUGUCUUGAACUCCAUCUUGCCAGUUAUUUGAUAUUUUGACUACUGAUUUCUCAAGACAAAUACCAAUGCUCUCAUGCCUACAACAACUCAGACAAUUCAGAUCUUUCAUUCUGCACAUGUUUUCACAAUUCUGACAUACAUGGUUAUGUUUUCAGCCCCUUUCACAUUAGAAUAUGAAUUUGUGAAAAAUCAGAAACUGUAAUGAUAUAUUAUGAUCACAUGCACCCGAAUCAAGAAGCCACUUAUCAUUUUUAUGAAAAUCUACGUUAAUAUCAAGCAAAGAGUGAUGACUUAUUAAAUCAUUCUCACAUGAAUAAACAGAAUGAAAGAAAAAACUUAACCUGCAGUUUGGUUGAAUCAAUAGAUGUCUCGUUAGGUCCUUAUAAGUAAUAAGAUCAAGUUUGGUUCAGUCAAGUUAGAAGAUUGUGGAACCUGGUUUGGUGUGUUUGUGUCUCACUGCUUGACUUAGUGCAUUUAACAGAAUCAUAAGGAUGAUUACAUAAUAUAUAUUGGGCUUACAGGUAUGGUGUUCCCCAACUCAUUUCCUUUUACGACCCAUUUACAAUGUUGUUGUACUGUCUUUUUAUUUCUUUGACCUCAAAGAUGUGUUCAUUCUUUGUCUUGGAUAAUCUGUGUCUAUAGACCAAAAACAUAUCAGCUUAACUAGAACAUAUCAUCGCCUCCACAUAGUGGAGAUAAAUAGUAGUGACAUGUGACUGUUUAAGUGUCAAGAACUAUGUGAGAAUACAUGUCACAAAGCUUAUAUCAUUGCCUAACGAAGUUAGAUCAGCACUAAUAUCCCACUCACUUGUUAAAAGCUAAUUUUUUCAAAAAAAUGUGAACAAAGAUACGAUUGAUUGGAUACUGCAGAUGAUAAAACUCUGUCACAAUCAUCCAACUUAGGCAUCUUGAUUUUGUAGGGACUCAAUCUUAAUGGUCCAUUGUUGUGGUGGAUGGGGUCCAUAAUUGCUUUCUUGAUUCAAUUAAGUAAUCGUGUUCCGUUGUUGUCUUGGCCUGCUGGACACUAAGGACACCAUUCAUCCAUCACUUCACAUCAUUCAUCUUCCUUACUGCAGUGCACCACUACAAUCAUCAAUACUAUUAUUACUUUGACAAACUCUUAUUGUAUCUUAAAUUGCAUAUAUCAUAAUCAUAAUCUAUGUAUAGUGAUCCUCAUUGUUCUCUUCUCAUAAACAAAUCAAAUAAUACUCCAUUCAAUGAGUUCUUAAUUACUAUCUUUUUAAUUAUAGAAGUGUCAUCUUCGACCUCAAGUCUGUCUUUUACUAUUUCUUCUCCUUUAACAAAAAAGUAGCCGACGCACAUCUUGUUUUUCCCCCACAUAUACCAUAUUCUCUAUCUAGUGCAUUGAUUCUUCUUCAUACCAUCAUUGCGUUGCUUUACUCUUGUUUUGAAAUUUAUAUUGCUUUACACUUGUUUUUGAAACUCAUAUGUCAUGAUAAUUGUUUGAAUUGAAGAGUCCAAUUAUAUCUAUAUCUAUCGACAUUGUAUUAUACUUUCCCACUUGCCCCCACUAAAGAACCAUACACGAUAUUAAUAGUUAGAUUUUGUUUAUUUUAUAUAUUUUAGUGGGUUGUUCCUAAUGUGGACAAUAACCAAACUAUUUCCUCACCUUUUUUCAUCCAUACGAAAGUACAGUCUUUUACUUGUAAAUGUUUCAUGUCUUGUUUCUUUUAUCCAAUAUAUCAAUGUCAUGUCUCAACCAUAUAUUGUUUUUUUUUUUCUCUGAUAGUAACAUAAAACUUCUAAUUACAUAUCUUAUCUAAACCACAUGCUCUUUUGAUAUUUUGUACCAUUUAGUGGGUGAGAAGAUGAUGAUAUUUGCAUUGGUACAAAUUUAAUCAGAAUAUAAAAGAUUAGGUCAAGUGGGCAAUAGUGGUAUAGGCUUACUCCUUUUACUUUAAAAACCCUUGAUAUCCUCUUCUCACCUCUCUCUAUCUUUGUGUUGUCCAUUUAGAUCUGUCACUAUAAUGUUUAAAAUUGUUACUAGUAUAUCAUGGAUCCAAGAUCUGACCAACAAGAUAUGUCAAGACAUUUUUAUAUUGUAGCUUUGGCAAAUUGAUACAAAUUAUCAUAUGAUCAAAUAGACUUAUGCAUAUGUGAUAUGUCUCACACCAUGAAACAAAGACUCAUGUCAAGCUUAUAUAGUGCAGAACUGAGGAUCAUUUGCCUAUCUUUUUUUUAAUCUUUCUACGAUUAUUCAGUCCAAAUUACUGUCUCACUUGGCCUAUAUAAAACCCUAAUAUAUAAGGUUAAUUGUUUAUACUCGUUCAUCUUCUGAUCCUUCAGUCCAAAAGUUUUCCUUCAAUCCAAUACUAUUAGUAGCUAUUGUUUUUGCGGAAUGUAAAAGCAAAAGCCAAUUAAUGAAGACAUUACUUCUAUUUUUUUUAAAAUUUUUUUUUUUUUUUGUCAUCGAAGACAUUACUUCUAUUUUAAGACUGUGUUUUGGGUUUUGACUUUUAAUAAACAUAAUGAUAUUAUAUGCAUACAACAAUACAGCACAAACAUGACACAAAUGCAACAAUUUUCAACCGAAAGAAAUAAUCAACAUUGUAAUCACAAUAAACUAAAUUUAUCGACUGCGUCAAUGACUAUGGUCUAUGGACGACUUUGAUAAAACCAAAAAAAAAAAAAAAAACCGAAAGUUGUGUUCAACUUUGGUAUGAAAAGAAAAGUAGAAUAUUUAAGUAAAAGAGUUGUGAGAAAGAAGAAAAGAUAAAGAAACAAGGCCAUCAAUGUCAUUGUUGUUCCAUGGUUGACAUGGUAUACCAUUCUUUAUCAUGAAUAAAUGAGGUCUCAACUAAAUUGUUUUGAAAAACAUAUAUAUAUAUAUAUCGAUUACUUUUAAUAUAGCAAUAUGAUAAGUAAUGAAGUAGGGACGUUGAUUUGUUAGAGGUUAGCUUAGACUAAAGAACAAAUAAAAACCGACCCACAAAACAAAUCAAUCAAUUUCGAAAUCAUGAUGACAUUAGUAAAUUUAUUUUCGUCUAGUGCCGUCUUUCCCUUGGAAAUUUCUUCUUUUCCCUAAGAUAACAAAACAUUAACAUACAAAUCAAGUUGUGGAAUAUUAUUACUAAUCUUUAUAUAAAAGAGGAAUCAUAUUCAUUUCAUCUUUAUAUACAUGGGAAAGCAUGUAUAUAAAAAGAUGACUUAGAUAGUUUCCAGUUCUUCAAAAAAUGAAUGAAUAAAAAACUUGUCAUCGUGACCCACUCGGAAAGGAAAUCUAACAAAUAAUUAUAUAUUAGUAAACUAUUCCUGUUUACUAUAAUGUGCCACUGUAUUGACUUUUCUGAAAGCUUAUUCGAGGGUAAAAGGAAAGAAAAACAAAAGUCAGAUUGUUCAAUGAGAUGGUGAAGAUGACUAGACAACAACAUAGGAAGGUGCAUGAGGUUAAUUAGCCAUUUCAUGACAAUGUAGCCCACUUUCUUAGAUUAUCACAUUAGAAUUAGAAUAUAUAUAUACAAGUUAAAAAAUAUAUACAUAGUGAGAUGGUUAGUCGUCGGUUCCAAAACCACAUCAUAUCCAUCCAGUCGGUCAAAUAAUUAAUAUUUUUGCGGGGAAUAUUAUUAUGAGCAAACAGCAUGACACCUGGAUGCUGCAUACGUACGUUUACGUUAUAAUGAUAAACUCGGCAUUGUUUGACAUGAAAAUUGAAGAUUAAACUAUUACGACGACUCUACUACUAUUUAUAACUGAGGGUUUAAGCAAAGACGAAAUAUAUAAGAUUUAGCAAAAAAGACGAAAUAUAUAUAACGUGUAAUGAAAGAUGGGUAGUUUUUUUUUGUUUGGAUACUCAUACUAGAAUGGAGAGGGGAAAGUUGAGGAAAGUUCCAAAGUGUGGAAUCAAAAAAUUCACGUGUUGGGGAAAUAUAUUUAAUUAUGCCAAUAUUGUUUUUUUAAGAAAAAAACCAAACGGUCCCCUCUCAGUGGGCCCAUUAACGGCCCAAGUAUUGUUUAAAAGAAGAAAUGAAAAUUGUGGGCCCGGCGGUGCGAUGUGGAUGUGCUCUUGUGUUUUUUGUUUAUGUUUUUUUUUUUCUUUUUAAAUGCCGAUUUUGGCUUUUUCUGUCUUUUUUUUUUUUUUUUGGUUGCUUGUGGGAGUCCACUUUAUAGAUUUGUUUCCCUAAGUUAAAAUAAAUUGGUUCUCUACCGACAAUGUUCUUUUCUCAUCCUUCCUUAGAUUACUGGUGUGUAGUUGCGUAGGUGUCGCCAUACAUGAUGAUACAUGAACUUAACUAAUUAGAAGAUAUGUGAUCUUUUCUCAUAUAUAUCUUAACAUGUGUUGUGUUGAGAGAGGCAAAGCUAAUAAUACAAGUCAUUCAUUAUUAGUAUUUUCAUUUUCCUUGUGUUGUGUUGUGGUUGUCGAUAAUGGAAAAGUCUAAGCUGUGUACCGGUAGUACAGCUGCUGAGAUUUUUAAAAUAAAGAGAAGGAGAUCAGAGGGAGUGUAAUAGUUUUGACGUGACUUGAUAAUCACAAAUGCAACGUUACGUCCGUAUAAGUUUAAUAGGGGGGCACAAAACUACAACACAAAAGUAGCGUGAAGAGACCGCAAUAAUAAUGUGAUUGCUGGCUUAUAGUAUAUGAUCCAACCCCCUCCGGGACCAUUCCACGAUAACUUCAGAGAGUCGUGCCUCUCAAUUUAUACAUAUGUAAGUAUAUACGACAUCAUCAAUGAUAAAGUGUUAUUUUAGCGGUGAAUUUCAUACGAUACUCUUUCUAUUGAAUGGAGUAUAAUUUUUUUGCAGAUUUUUUAAAUUAAAAAAAACUCUUGUAUCCAAAAAAGAUGUAAACAAAAAGGACAAACAUUUAAAAUCAUGAUAACUAAAGUAUCAAAAGAAAAAAAAAAGGUGGCUUGAAUGAGAACGUGAACCAACUGCAUUUCACAUGCUUCGAAAAAAUAUUAGAUAGAUGUAUUAAAAAAACCGUACCCUCUCUGAUUCCUCGAACCCUCCUCUCAUCACCAUAUAGCUAAUGCGUGAUUUAACCUUAAGUUAUACUACUAUUUCCAACGUAUUCAACCCUUCAACUUCUUCUUAAUCAUCUAUAAACCACUGGUUAAGUAAUAAUGAUGGUGACGUGGUUGAUUGCAACGAGACCAUUAUAAAAAUACAUGCAGCAUUGAAUUAGUUAAACAACAAAUAUUGACAUUCGCAUAUUAUAGAACGAGGACAAAUAAGAAGGGUAUUUUUAAUUAACUAGUACUAUAUAUUAGUAAUAGUAUUAUUAUGAUGUUUUAAUACGAAAAGAAGGUGGUGAUUGUGUUGGGUGGAAUGGAGGCAGUCAAAUACACUCAACUAGUUCUAACAAAAAAAAAUUCGCAUCUCUUUGAUAUGAAAGGGACAAGACGGAGGACGUGGUCUUCACGCGUCUCGAUUCUCUCAUUUCUUCCCUCUCCCCCUCACCUCACCUAAAGCCAAAUCUAUCAGCUCAUCAUCAUGCCCCUUUGUAUAUUUUUAACACGAUUCACAUCUGAACCCUUCUUCUUUUUUUUGGUUAAAGUUCCCAUUUAAACAAAACUAAAUUUCACAUCUAAAUCUUUUUAACCCUUAUCUUCUCUUUUUUUUUAAUUGUUUUUUCACCGACCUGCGAAAUGAAUAAACUACACAACAUCUUCUUGUGUUCCUUAACUCAAGUAUUUCGAAUAUUUGGGGUCCAAAAACAAAAUACAUAUGCGUUUAUAUUAUUCUUACAUCAACUAUUACUUUUGGUACUAUAUUAUUUUUUAAAUAAACCCUAAUUUCUUUUUGAUAAUAAUCGGGUAAAAAAAUAACCAUUUUGGGAAGUUAAGAAAAAGGCCGGAAGAAGUGGAACAGACAGAACACACACGAGACGAGAUUUUAUUUAUAGACUUGCGAGUUAACUACUCUAACACAACAAGGGUAAUUUUGGAAAUUUCACUUGUUGUCCAGCGAAAUUUGCGCGCGCUCUCCACGUCAGCUUUUUUUCCAUUCCAGCACCACCGUUAUACACGCGCCAAUACAAUUCUAACGGCUAGUCAAACCUUGUUCACUAUUCUAUCUUGCGCUUAAAAAUUUUCUUACAGGCUUGGCUAACUUGCACCGUCCCACUCCUUUACGUCUUUUUUUAUUUUCUUUUAGCAUCAGUUCUCUCUCGAGUCUCGGGUUUAGAGGAAAAGUUGAUUUGGCUUUUUUCGUUUUCAUUUUCUGCUUUUGGUUUAAUGGUCUGUCACGCAUAACCCUCCCACGAUUUCGACCACUUCACUUUUUAUUUUAUCUUUGGUAUCGAAUAUUAAAACAGAUUUCUAGAAAAAUACACACAAAUAUUAAUAAUCGAUUGGACAAAAGUGAACCAAAGCUUGUCAAAAGUGACGUUAUACCCCUACUACUACUACUACUAAUGUUAAAAGACUAGUAGUUGAACCACACUUACAAAAACCUUUCCACUUUUUUUGGUGAAAAUUUCAUACGAAAGAUGGGAAAUGACAUUGAAAGUGGGUGUAAACCUAACCCACGAUUCUUUUUUUUUUUAAAUAGCAACAGAUAGAGGUCCCUCCUCGUGAACCCCCUUACGAAAUUUAAAGAUCUGACACAUAUGUCAAAGAUUCGUGUUCCAUCAUCAUCAUCACUAUCCAGAGAUAAAAAUAUAUAUUUUAAAAAUGAACAGUUCUUUUAUCAACCAAAAAGAUGGAUAGAUUCUUUCUUUUUUCAACUAUUUACUUUUGUUUUUAAGGACAUUUACAACUUUACUAGGUGAUGAUAUUUGGGUUAGAUCCCGCUAAGAGGAAAGAUUAACAUGAAGACUAGCGUUCUUAGGAGAUUUACAGACUGGACAAGUGUUGAUUGAAGACCCGCACAUAGUGCAUAGACACAUGUGUCUGCACGGUAACAGUAACACACUUGCUUCUCCUUUUCCGCAGUUUCUACACAGAGUCGUCGCUUCCCUACGCAUCCUUUUCGUAUCCUGCGCCUCUCCCGCUAACUUCCACCUCUCUUCCUCGCUAUCACCCUCGUCGCUGCUCCCGCAACAAGACUGUGCGUCGUCAGCCACCGCGGGCGGCUCCUCCCACCUGUUACGCUCCACGGCGGCGAGAACUUGUUGCAAGUUUGAACGGAGUGCGUUUACGGUGGCUUCAUUAGACUGUGCCACGUCACGCCAUAUCUGAUUCUCAACGCACAAAGACUUGACCUUCUCUUCUAGAAAGAGGUUUAGCUUCCCGAUGUGAUUGAUCUCUUCGUCUUUGGCCCUCAGUGUCUUCAUCAACCCUUGUUCAACUGCUUCCACUAUCCUCCUCCCUUGCGUUUUUCUCUUCUCUUCAAUCUCAAUUCUCAUUCUCUCAACCUGAAGAUCAAAUCAUUGAAGAGACCGUUCAAUCGAUGUGAACCAGGAUAAAAAUCUAAAAAUUAAUACUUGUAAUAGAUCAGAUGAAAACUUACGUGAGUAGAGAUCAAACGGUCGAUAUCGAAGUGAUGUUGUUGGACGUUAGAAGACAAGUCUUGGCCAAGAAACAUGAGAGGAUCGGUGGUGCUUUUGAGGCUUUGCAUAUAAGCCGGAGUAUUCAAAACAACUGAUUCUUCUCUGGAACGUUUUCUCGACGACACAGGACGGAGGAAAUCGACGUUGUUAGCAUUAUUCUCGCUGUUGAAUGUGACCGAACUGUCAACGGAUUGUAUCGUCGGUUUCAUGGAUUGAUGAACCAAACCAUCAACAGGUGCGAUGUUGUAUAAAGGAGGAUUAAACAGAGAAGUUUGACAUUCCACGGCGGGGCUAAACGUCGGAACAGUGCCGUAUCUCAUCUGGGUGUUAUAAACUAAGCCGUCUGCUUCAAUAGGGUGGAUCAUUUCUCUGUUAAAAAUAAAAAAUCAAGAGCAACGUUACAAUAUUGAAAAAAACAGAGGAAACAGAGGAAGAGAAAAGGAGAAGAAGAAGAAGAAUUUGUUUACCUGUUGGAAGAAAACAGAGUGUUCAGAUGGUGAGCUUCAACGGCCAUCGAUGUUUGUUGACUAUAGUGAAAACUUGUUCAAAAGAUGUUUGAUGGGGUGAUUCAGAGAACCUCAAGAAACGUGAAUGCAACGAAAGAAUGGAAGUAGAAGUUGUUUUGAGAGAGAGAUGGGGAAGAAGUAAAAAAGAAACAAAUAUCAAAGCAGAACCACAACACACUCUUGUCUGCCAAUUUAUAGAGAACAGAGAAGGAAGAUGUGAUGUUUUUAAUAUAUUUUUAAAAUUUUGCAUUUGGUUGUUUUCUAGUGUAGCAUUUGUUUAAUAGUAUAAAUAAAGAAAACAUUAAGCAUGAGGAUUCUUCGGUUAUCCUCCGGCUGACCAGUGACCAUUAAAGUAGUUGCCUUUUUCAGCGUUUCUUCAUGAGUAAAUAACAAUAAUAAAUUGAAAACUUUGACAAGGACAGCUGUAAAAUCUUUUGUUCAGAGUUACGGUCAAAUUCAUGAUAUCUGCUCUUUCUUUUUUUUACUUUCUCUGGUUGUUUCUUUUAUUUUUACUCUUGUUAAAAGAAGUUCUGAUUUCUCUUUUCUUUCGCCUAACUCAUCUCUCGUCUUUAAUAUCACUGGUCAAACCUGACAAUUUAAUAAUAGUAGGAUCUAUUGGUAACAAAUAUGUUCGGUGUAAGUAAAGUAACUUACACAGUGUAAGAUUCAUUGUAUACAUACAUGAAAAUGAAAUGCAUUUACGACGAAUGUGUGUAUAUAUGUUUAUAUAAACGCCAAAAAAUAAAUAAUAGAGGUGGCUCAUGUGAUAUACUCGUAUCAAGAGUCCUCUCAGUCUUGUAACUAUCUAAAAUUAUUUAAUAAAUAAAAAAAGAAACCGAUCGAAAUGAUCAUAGUUCAAGAACCACUGUUUAUUCAAAGACAUGUCAUUGUUUAUCUAAUUUUAACAUCAUCCUCUGUAGUGAAUUUGGGGAAUUACUCUGUACCAUUAAUUGCUUUGCAUGCAUGAAUGUUGAAAACUGAAGAGGCUCAGAAAUUUUCUGAAACAAAAUAAUGUGAGGAGUGGCUUAUCCGUUUUUGGAGAGAGAGAGAGAGGACAAAAUCCCGUUAGAUUCCAACGGAGGGGAGAGGGGGUGGCGAAUCCGUAAAAAAAGAGCCACACCACAUAAGACGGCCACUGACAGCGCCACGUGGCAAUACAGACAAAACAUAAAGAAGUGGGACAUAUGGUCCACGUGUGAUUGAGUUGCCGGGAUACGAGGGUCGCAUGGGCACGUGUGUACUGCCAGCUUGGCACUAUCCGAAUAAUUCGAAUUAUAAAAUAAAAAAAAAUUGCAGCCGUUGAGAAAGGUACGGUGUACCCACCGCUGCUGCUUCUUUACCUUUUUUUCUAAUUUUGUUUUGCCUUUUUCAGUUUUGAUUUAUUAAUAAUUAUUAAUGAUGUUUUGUCUGUUACUUUCAAUGGUUCUCUUUGCCACGUCUGUUUGGAAACUAACCUCCUGCCACGUGUCCCACAAACCUUUCCUCUUUCUUUUACUUAUGACUUCAAUUGCCCACAUUAAUUCAAUAUUUGAUGGCUAACGUUUUUAAUUUAUUUUGUGUUUAAACUUCUUUUGUCAAUGUUUCUGAAUCAGAAGGAAGUGUUUGCGUUGUCCUUCCAAUACUUCGUCUAGGUGGGGAAUUGAAUGGGGUUUCCGUUUGGUUUGUUUUUCCAUUCAAGAAUCGGAUUAGGUUAUAAAGAUGUUAUUUUCUAGUUUUAUGUUAAGUUUUGGUUAUCUAAGUCUAAGUAUAUCUUGUAAUUGAUAUCAUAAUAAUACAUACUGUAGACUUUGGUAUAAUAUUGCAUGCUGGCUUGCACCCUAUGUAGAAGCUAUAUAUAUCUUUUCUUUAUCACCAUUAUUGUUUUUCAGUUGUGAUUUAUGUUACAAGAUCAACGCAUCAUGUUAACACACAAAAAUUUAAGCUAAUUACACACAUAUUUUAACUUUGAUUUUUCAUAAUUUUUUAGUAUGAGAGACUUACAGCUUUUUGCCUUUGCUAAUCUAUGAUGCAUGUGUACACCUUGUUUCUUUGACGAUUCAAAUACUAAUCAAAACUAUAUAAUGUCGAAUUAUAUACACUUUUAAAGUUAAAUAAUGAUAAUUAGUCGGGGCACUAUCAUCAUGUUUCGUAUAAAUAAAAAGCCACCGGCAGAUAAAUUAAGUUAUCUUGGAAAUAGUAAAGCACGAAGAGAGGGAGGGGCAUAGAAUCACGAGGUUAGCAUAGCAAGCGCAUUAAGAUUGGCAUGUCUUCUUUUUGCAUCAUCUUCUGCUUUUCAGACAUUAUCUCUUUACCAUUAUACUAUUAAUACAUUUUUUUAGUCGUAUCAGGCAUUUUCUUAUUACUAUUUCGUUCGAUCUGACAUCGUACAACUAUUAUUUUUAUUUUUAUUUUAUUUUCGCUGACAACUCAAAAUAUAAAAUAAGAUAUAUACAAGUUGCCUAAUAGCAAAAGUCGAGGCUCAUUCCAAAAGCUAUUACUAUUAUUAAUGUCCGUGGGAUUAAUUAAAACCAUAAAAAUUUGCAUAACCAACGGAAAACAAAAGAUCAUUUGAAUGAGUCCUCACGUCUAAACUACUAAAUUUUUUAACAACUUUAUGAACUUUGGGGCAACAGAAGUGGUCUAAUGCAAUCCACAUGCUCAUCCUCUCAUUCUUUUAGCUAGUUUAGAUUAAGGUUCAAGUUGGUGACACAAAACAAAACAAAACAAAAUGAUUAAGGUUCAAGUUUCUUUCUUCUGUUUAACCCUGAAUGUAUGAAACCUAGAGUGACAAUGGUAUUCAUGAAAGGAAUGAAACUUAAGAAAAUAACAUCCAUUCCAGGGUCUUUUCUUGAAUAAAUAUAACUUUGUUUUUUUUUUCUUCAAUAUGUACUUCCGUGCAUAUUUCAACGUAUGGUUUGAUUUCUGUAACUUUAACAGGUAAGUGUGCAGUGAGGAAAUCAUGAAAGAAAAUAUCAAAUAGUACUAAAAAGAAUUGAUUUUGGUUUUGCAACAAGUAAAGAAUAUAAAUGUAUACUCCAUGUAGGUGACGGUUUUGGCGUGCCUGCUUUUGAGGGCAAAGGCAUGACCUCCAUUGAGUUUGAUGAUAAAAGUAAGUUUCUUCUCUUUUCUUUUUUCUUUCUUUAGUUGAAAUUAAACAAAAAAGUCGUUGAUCUAUUAUUUUCUGCACAUCAUCUCAACCGCUCACCAUAAUGAGAGAAUCUCAAUGUCACACAAACACAUAAUCGUAUUCGUACCCUUUCCUAGCUAGUUUUGUAUACAUAACAAACACUUUAUUAUUAUUCUUUUUUUUCUCUCUCGAGGGAAUCUCGUUUUUAUCAUCCCUAGCAAUAUUUAUAAUAUAUAGUGUUUGUAAGGUCCUCCUCUACCAUACAUAUUCUCGAUAUAGACGUCAUAUAUGCCAUACAUAGAGGUGUGUUAAAUUAGAGAAUAUGGACAUUUCUUGCAUAUAUAUAAAUGUAUGGAAAUAUGGCAUCAUUGGCAUGUAUAUAGAUAUCGAUAUACGUAAAAUACGUGAAAGCAAUGCAUCGGAAAAGUUGGUUGAGCAAAGAAUUGGAUACGGCUCGAGAUGGCAUCACAUGUAUUGGAAUAAGUGGAGCAAUGUGUCAUUAUNNNNNNNNNNNNNNNNNNNNNNNNNNNNNNNNNNNNNNNNNNNNNNNNNNNNNNNNNNNNNNNNNNNNNNNNNNNNNNNNNNNNNNNNNNNNNNNNNNNNNNNNNNNNNNNNNNNNNNNNNNNNNNNNNNNNNNNNNNNNNNNNNNNNNNNNNNNNNNNNNNNNNNNNNNNNNNNNNNNNNNNNNNNNNNNNNNNNNNNNNNNNNNNNNNNNNNNNNNNNNNNNNNNNNNNNNNNNNNNNNNNNNNNNNNNNNNNNNNNNNNNNNNNNNNNNNNNNNNNNNNNNNNNNNNNNNNNNNNNNNNNNNNNNNNNNNNNNNNNNNNNNNNNNNNNNNNNNNNNNNNNNNNNNNNNNNNNNNNNNNNNNNNNNNNNNNNNNNNNNNNNNNNNNNNNNNNNNNNNNNNNNNNNNNNNNNNNNNNNNNNNNNNNNNNNNNNNNNNNNNNNNNNNNNNNNNNNNNNNNNNNNNNNNNNNNNNNNNNNNNNNNNNNNNNNNNNNNNNNNNNNNNNNNNNNNNNNNNNNNNNNNNNNNNNNNNNNNNNNNNNNNNNNNNNNNNNNNNNNNNNNNNNNNNNNNNNNNNNNNNNNNNNNNNNNNNNNNNNNUUUUUUGACCGUUGCACUUGAUUUCAUGCAACCCAUGUGGACCCAACCUAAUCUAUCUGAUAAAGUUGAUAAUUGAGUAGAGAGAGAGCUGCAGCAAAAACUUCAUGAAUAUUUUCAAGUCUCUUUACACGUUACGUGGAUCCAAGGCAAUUUGUGGAUCGAGACGGGGGCCGUAAUAAUCGAGGACGCAUAUGUAUAUUGUAACAAUUUAUAACGUAUAAAACAAAACAAAAAGAAAGCACAGCUCUCUAUUAUGUGUGGUUUACUCACUCAGCCUUUCACCUAAUCCUUCUGACCCAUCCCCACGUUAACGUUGCUCCAUUUUGGAAUCAGAUGCCACAACUAAUUAAUCAACCUCUCUUUCCAUGUUUGACAUGAUGAAUCAUGUUAUAUAAUAUCCCCUGUCGUCGAUAGCUACAAAUUGACUAAGUUGUCAUAUAUAUUUAUAUUAAUUAACUAUAUAUAGUGGUGUUAAUUAGCUGCCAAGAUUGAUUAGCAUAUAUAUGUAUGGGUUGAAAAUAUUAAAGUUUUUUUUUGGGUGAAGAAGAUAAGGGAAUCACCUCACCCUCCCACCCACUACGCAUAUAAACAGAAAACAAGUGAAAAAUCUCGAUAGGGUCUUUUCUCUUUUUUUUUUUUCUCAUUUAAAAACUAUUGAUGAUAUUGGAUUAUAAUAUUAAAAAUUUUGAAAUAGAAAAUGUGAGACCAAGAGAAGACGUGAAUUCACUGUCAACUUUUUUAAGAGAAUGCAUGAACAUGUAUGUGUACAUAGAACAAAUAAAACAAAGGGUCGGCAAACAAAUGAAUGGUUCUUCCCACUCGGCCAAUUCCAAUACACCACAUCUCUCUGUGGGUUUAUGUCAAUAUCUUUCAAAAAUCAUGUGUGUUUAGUAAUUGAGGAGAAUAUGUGAUAUAUAUGUAUAAACAAAAACAAAAUUGUCAGAAUUUGUAAUGAACAGAAACAAAUAAAUGGUGGUACCUCCUCAUACAAGAGAAAAGAAAAGGGUAAGAAGAGAUAUUAAUAAUAAAAAUGUUUGACAGGGAAGGUAGAGAGAUAGGUGUGUGUGAGGUUGUAUUAUUAUUAGCAGUGUCCCUCUCUUGCUCUAUAAUUUACACAAACUUGUCCAAUUCAUCACACUUCCCCAACCAAACUUGUUUGCUUCAUAUAAUUCAUUUUAUAAAAAUAUGUAUGCAUUGCAGGCAGAGACAUGUGUGUGUCUGUCUCUAGGCUUAAGUAGCUGCUACCCUCUUUUUCAUAAAUUAUAUCGAUUGAUUCCGUGGGAUAUGAUAUGAUAUGACCUAUGUAAGACUGUGACAUUUGUGUUUUUUUGGCCCUCUGUGUUAUGUACUCAUCAUGGAAUGCGACAUUUUUUUUUAUAUAUGUAUAUGAUUAAUAAUGAUCAAUGCCAAUUUGGGAACUCUAGUAAGUAUGCUUUUAGUGGUCCACCCCCAUUUCUAGUCUUAUCUUUUCGACCAUUUCAUAUCUCAUUUAUUCCUUUCUCAACAAUCCAAAGUUAGCUUUGAUUUUUUCAAUUUCUAUAUAGAACAUUCGGCUUAUGGAAAUAAUUAGAAGUUGACUACUACAUGUUUGUUAUCUGAUAUAUUUCGGCCCAUUAGGCAUUUUCUUUAUUUAUUCGUCGACACUUAGAGGCCCGAGAAUUAAUAUAUUAUUAAGCCCAUGACAAACGUUUUUUUUAAAGUUGGGAUUACGGGUUAGUGCUAGAAACCUUAUAUAUUUUCUGGUUCUGAUUACAACUUUGUGUUUGGUUGAUUUCUCCAAGCUUUGAGCCUCAGAUAAGCCCACCCUACCAGUAGCCUUGUAUACACUACUUAUUGAUUGGUUUAAUUUCUUUGCACUAUAAAAACAUUUACUGUAACGCAAGAAAACAAAUCUUUCGAGUAUAAAUAAUAGAGUGAAGAAAUGAUAAAGAUAAAAGCUUAGUGAUAAGCUCGUUAUCGAAUUACGUUUGUUUUGACGAAAUUUUCCAAUGUUAGAACAUGGAAGUAAUUAAUAUAUAAAAACUUUAUACUCGUACAGACCACUACGUUAUGUGUGACACGAAACAUAAACGUAUUAAUAGUCAUCGGAUUUAAAUAAACACACUUUGGUAGGACGUCUUGUCCUUCACCAACAGAAGUCAUUAACCUUCGCUUGUCGGUAAACUUUACAUUUCAGGGGAAAAGACAAAGAUUUAAAGUUAUAAUUCGAAAUUUCGAACAACGAGAAACUUGUAAUUAUAUUUAUAUAAAAAAAAAAAACAAGAACAAGACAAACCUCCUAAUCAAGGGGAGAGAUAGAGAUGGGCAAAGUCAUCUAGAGACUCCAAUAUGUGACUCUGGUCUCCGUUUUCGAGCAACCACAGAAGAUGGUCGAACAAAACGACCUCACAUUUCACCGUGAUUAUACAACUUCCAUCCUCUUUAUCGUCUCCUUCGUAUCUCUGUUGCUUCUCUACGAGAGCGUUGAGCAGGGGAUGCUUCAGGUGUUUCUUACUGAUCAAGUAAGGUUUCUUCGAACGUCCAACCAACACUGUCUGGUACAAAAACGGUGUAUGGCCUUGGUCGACGUCAUGGAGAUGCUCUUGGCUAUCUCUCCUGGCCGAUUGGGAUCUGAGACUUGUGUAAGAAUAUGAACGACCCAAUUGUGUGGACACGCUCUUGCAUCUCCUGAGCAUCAUCAUUAACCUCAUCUUCUUCAUCAUUGAUCCAAAUCUACUGGCCCUCUAUCUCUCUUUUAUUUUGCUGUUUUAAGAAGACACUUGAAACAUACUCAGAAAGUGAGAAUAGUGUUUAUAUUUAAAGAGGAGCGACAAGGUAAGGUGCUACGUCUCUCGAUUCUUAAACAAUUUAAUUUAUAUAAUCAAGGUUAGCAACUAAUUUUUCUCCACUUUAAGUCUCAUAAGCUUCAAGAUUACUUUUCAAUCAGGUACAUUCCCCAAAUAUUAUCUUUAUGAUUUGUGUGUACGUUUUUUUUCAUCUUAUCUACCAAAGUACAUACUUACAUACUAAGAAAAUGCAUGUGUUGGCAUUGCAAUUCAAAGAGAACGUGUCAAGAAAAGAGAAACGAAGAAGAAGAUAUGAAGCCAGCACGAAAGUCCCGAAACGGACACGUCGAACCUGUCUCCCUUUAAAUACGACGGCUCAUGCCCACUCGUGAUCCCCUUAAAACCUAAAAAUGGCAAAGAACAAGGACGACAUAGAGUAUGCAACGGCUCAAGCCAAGCUUUCGGAAGAUGAACCAAUCCGUGUAAGCUACAAACACGGGACACCAUUAGAGGGAGGCAAGAUUGCAGAGUCCGAGCCUGUGGAGCUGUUCUCGAGUGCUCAGAGGAUCGAACAGGGAAAAGAUCAGUCAGUCUCUGGCGGUCAAACACAGAUGCAACGUGACGUUAAAGAUCUCCGCGGAACACGUACAGAUGAUAGUCCUCGUUAAAGCUACAGUUUGGUGGGUUUGCUUUGUUCUCUAUGUGUACGAGUGUAGACAACUGUUGCUGUCUUAAUAAAACGGACUGGAGCAUGUUUAUAAGAGCAAUCGAUAACUUCAAUCUCUAUUCUCAAAUAAACACAUCAUAUAUGUAAACCGUUUCCUCAGAAACAAAAUCUCAGUUUAGCCAUCACUGCAUCUAGUAUAUAAAGGAAUGAACCAAAAUAUGAAUAGAGUGUGACUGGGAUUGUUCAACAAAAGCUUAAUGCAAAAAUCACAAAAGGUUCAAAACUGAUGCUGUUUUAAAGUCGAGAAACUAGAAAGAUAUUACACAACAGAGAUAGUCUUCGAACUACUUAGAUCGCUGUCUCAUCUUUCGGCGCUUCCUCUUUAGUCUCCUCAUACGCUUCUUCUUCCACUGUCCAAAACAAAUGUUCAAUCACAACAAUAACAUUAAUACAAUAUAUUAACCAGAGGCAAUAACCAUAUCAAGACUAAGAAUUUUAAUGGUCAAAAAGCUUCUACAAACUUGUAAUGAACGAUACAUAAUCUUAUGGAAAAAAACAAAAAGUCAUCACUUAUCUAAGUAGAUCGCAUUGAAAUCGAUAAGCAAAGCAAAGGCUAGAGAUUACCAAUUACAUCAAACCUAGUUCUAACAAGCGUAUACUCAGUAACCAAUCUAAUAACGUUGCAACGCUAGAUUUGCUCUAUAUAUGUAAAAGUAUCAAAUUCCAUAAGAGACUAAAAAAAUUGACAAUGAAAUCUCUAGAGCAGCAAAUAAAUAAGAACAAUCUGCACAUCCAAGAAUCUAUGAAACAAUCAUUGGCAAAUUAGAGGAAAUGAUCAUAUACCUUGGCUCUCAUCUUGCAAUCGUCGUUUCGCUCGCCGUCCACUCCACUUUAGGGAGGAAGAAGAGUCUUUAAAAUAUAUAGCUAGGGUUUUGCUUACCUCACAAAAAAAAAACUGAAAAGGCCGUGAUAUUG